AUAUAUUUUCCAAGAUAUGAACUCAACUACUAAUUAUGUAGUUUUUCAUCAAAAUUUACAUGUAAAAAUGGUACAAAUGCAUAAACAUGAUAAAAAUAUAUAUCAUAUUCCAUUGAGAGAUCGCCCAUUUAAAAAAACACGUUGACUUACAAAAAGGACAAUUCAAGCUGCAUGUACGUCCGACUCAUGUUUACCUGACAAUGUCGAUGUUGAUUUCAGCAGUAAAUGAGCUGUGUGUGACCUUUGCGCUUUCCGGUAUUCUUCUAUCCUGUGUGCUUUAUGAUCAAUUUGUUGUGCUUAGUACUGGACACUGGAGUAUACUAUCAUAUUUGGUACAAAUAAAUCUGAACUACUAUAGUUAUGAUCCACUGUAUAGUUAAUGUGGUGGUAAUUAAUAUAUGUGAUUAAAUACUUGCGCUCCUUAGGUGGGGAGUUGGAUUUGUAUUUCCCUAAAAUAAAUUUCAGAUUUCGUAAUAGUGGUGAAGCCAGCCGGAAGAACCUCUACGUCAUUAUUAAUUUUGGUGAUAUUUUUCUUCAUAGUGUAGAAUAAUUUUAGUGCUUAUUCCGCAAAAAAUAUGGCCUCAACUGACCCCAUAGCUUGUAUGUUGCGCCACCACUGUUUCCUAUAUCUUAUUACAUCCGUUGUUUUUAGAUCUUGAUGCAUAACUUUGACAAUUUUUAAUAGAUAUGUGUCUGUAUAAAAAUUAUAAAUGCUAUGAUAAUUUGAUUAAUUAUGAUGAAUAAAAUGUUAUUGCUCUGACUUGAUCCCUCUAGAAUUUUCCAAAAUUUCACAUUACAGUUGUAGUAGUGCAUGCUACCUCUUGAGCAUUGCGUUAGUUUUCCCUUGAAGAGGAAAGGGUGAUGCAGUAAAGCAGCGUCAGUAUUUCCCUCAGUUUUUGAGAAGCAAGGUAUCAAUCCAGUAGGAGGCCACGCACGAGUCCCUCGCACCUACACAAACAAAUAAAAUCCUCGCAACCAACGCAAUAAAGGGGUUGUCAAUCCCUUCACGGUCACUUACGAAAGUGAGAUCUGAUAGAUUUGAUAAGAUAAUAUUUUUGGUAUUUUUAUGAUAAAGAUGCAACGUAAAGAAAGCAAAAUAAAAACAGCGCUAGAAAUAGCUUGUUGACGGGAGAUUAAAUAUGAUGGAAAAUAGACCGGGGGGCCGUAGGUUUCACUAGUGGCUUCUCUCGAGAGCAUAAGUAUUUCGGUGGGUAGACAAAUUACUGUUGAGCAAUUGACAGAAUUGAGCAUAGUUAUGAGAAUAUCAAGGUAUGAUCAUGUAUAUAGGCAUCACGUCCGAGGCAAGUAGCCCGACUCCUGCCUGCAUCUACUACUAUUACUCCACACAUCGACCGCUAUCCAGCAUGCAUCUAGAGUAUUAAGUUCAAAAGAACAGAGUAACGCUUUAAGUAAGAUGACAUGAUGUAGAGGGAUAAACUCAUGCAGUAUGAUAUAAACCCCAUCUUGUUAUGCUCGAUGGCAACAAUACAAUACGUGCCUUGCUGCCCCUACUGUCACUGGGAAAGGACACCGCAAGAUUGAACCCAAAGCUAAGCACUUCUCCCAUCGCAAGAAAGAUCAAUCUAGUAGGCCAAACCAAACUGAUAAUUUGAAGAGACUUGCAAAGAUAACCAAUCAUACAUAAAAGAAUUCAGACAAGAUUCAAAUAUUGUUCAUAGAUAAACUUGAUCAUAAACCCACAAUUCAUCGGUCUCAACAAACACACCGCAAAAGAAGAUUACAUCGAAUAGAUCUCCACAAGAGAGGGGGAGAACAUUGUAUUGAGAUCCAAAAAGAGAGAAGAAGCCAUCUAGCUAAUAACUAUGGACCCGAAGGUCUGAGGUAAACUACUCACACAUCAUCGGAGAGGCUAUGGUGUUGAUGUAGAAGCCCUCCAUGAUCGAUGCCCCCUCCGGCGGAGCUCCGGAAAAGGCCCCAAGAUGGGAUCUCAUGGGUACAGAAGGUUGCGGCGAUGGAAUUAGGUUUUUGGCUCCGUAUCUGGUAGUUUUGGGGGUACGUAGGUAUAUAUAGGAGGAAGAAGUACGUCGGUGGAGCAACGUGGGCCCCACGAGGGCGCGCCCCCUACCUCAUGCCUUCCUGGUAGAUUUCUUGACGUAGGGUCCAAGUCCUCUAGAUCACGUUCGUUCCCAAAAUCACGUUUCCGAAGGUUUCAUUCCGUUUGGACUCCGUUUGAUAUUCUUUUUCUGUGAAACUCUGAACUAGGCAAAAAACAGCAAUUCUGGGGUGGGCCUCCGGUUAAUAGGUUAGUCCCAAAAAUAAUAUAAAAGUGUAUAAUAAAGCCCAUUAAUGUCUAAAACAGAAUAUAAUAACGUUGGAGACGUAUCAAGCAUCUCCAAGCUUAAUUCCUGCUCGUCCUCGAGUAGGUAAAUGAUAAAAACAGAAUUUUUAAUGUGGAAUGCUACUUGGCAUAAUUUGAAUGUAAUUCUCUUAAUUGUGGUAUGAAUAUUUAGACCCGAAAGAUUCAAGACAAAAGUUUAAUAUUGACAUAAAAAUAAUAAUACUUCAAGCAUACUAACUAAGCAAUUAUGUCUUCUCAAAAUAACAUGGCCAAAGAAAGUUAUCCCUACAAAAUCAUAUAGUCUAGCUAUGCUCUAUCUUCACCACACAAAGUAUUUAAAUUAUGCACAACCCCGAUGACAAGCCAAGCAAUUGUUUCAUACUUUUGAUGUUCUCAAACUUUUUCAAUCUUCACGCAAUACAUGAGCAUGAGCCAUGGACAUAGCACUAUAUGUGGAAUAGAAUGGUGGUUGUGGAGAAGACAAAAAAGGAGAAGAUAGUCUCACAUCAACUAGGCGUAUCAACGGGCUAUGGAGAUGCCCAUUAAUAGAUAUCAAUGUGAGUGAGUAGGAAUUGCCAUGCAACAGAUGCACUAGAGCUAUAAGUAUAUGAAAGCUCAACAAAAGGAACUAAGUGGGUGUGCAUCCAACUCACUUGCUCAUGAAGACCUAGGGCAUUUUGAGGAAGCCCAUCAUUGGAAUAUACAAGCCAAGUUCUAUAAUGAAAAUUUCCCACUAGUACAUGAAAGUGAUAUCAUAGGAGACUCUCUAUCAUGAAGAUCAUGGUGCUACUUUGAAGAACAAGUGUGGUAAAACGAUAGUAACAUUGUCCCUUCUCUCUUUUUCUCUCUUUUUUAUUUGGGUCUUUUAUCCUUUUUUUAUGGCCUCUUUUUUUUUAGUCCGAAGACUCAUCACGACUUGUGGGGGAAUCAUAGUCUCCAUCAUCCUUUCCUCACUUGGGACAAUGCUCUAAAAAAAUGAUGAUCAUCACACUUUUAUUUACUUACAACUCAACAAUUACAACUCAAUACUUAGAACAAAAUAUGACUCUAUGUGAAUGCCUCCGACGGUAUAUCGUGAUAUGCAAUGAAUCAAGAGUGACAUGUAUGAAAGAAUUAUGAACGGUGGCUUUGCCACAAAUACAAUGUCAACUACAUGGUCAUGGAAAGCAAUAUGACAAUGAUGGAGUGUGUCAUAAUAAACUGAACGGUGGUAAGUUGCAUGGCAAUAUAUCUCGGAAUGGCUAUGGAAAUGCCACGGUAGGUAGGUAUGGUGGCUGUUUUGAGGAAGGUAUAUGGUGGGUGUAUGAUACCGGCGAAAAGUGCGCGGUAUUAGAGAGGCUAGCAAUGGUGGAAGGAAGAAAGUGCGUAUAAUCCAUGGACUCAACAUUAGCCAUAAAGAACUCAUAUACUUAUUGCAAAAAUCUACAAGUUAUCGAAGCAAAGUAUUACCCGCAUCAUUCUAGGGGGAUAGAUUGGUAGGAAAAGACAAUCACUCGUCCCCGACCGCCACUCAUAAGGAAGACAAUCAAUAAAUAAAUCAUGCUCCGACUUCAUCACAUAACGGUUCACCAUACGUGCAUGCUAAGGGAAUCACAAACUUUAACACAAGUAUUUCACAAAUUCAAAACUACUCAACUAGCAUGACUCUAAUAUCACCAUCUCCAUAUCUCAAAACAAUUAUCAAGUAUCAAACUUCUCAUAGUAUUCAACACACUCAUAAGAUUUUUUUACUAAUCUUGAGUGCCUAUCAUAAUUAAAGCAAAUUACCACGCUGUUUUGUAGGACUAUCAAAAUAAUCUAAGUGAAUCAUGAGAGAACAAUAGUUUCUAUAAAACAAAACCACCACCGUGCUCUAAAAGAUAUACGUGAAGCACUAGAGCAAAAACUAUAUAGCUCAAAGGAUAUAAGUGAAGCACAUAGAGUAUUCUAACAAUUUCUGAAUCAUGUGUGUCUCUCUCAAAAGGUGUGUACUGCAAGGAUUAUUGUGGCAAACUAACAAAUAAAGACUUCAAAUAAUACAAGACGCUCCAAGCAAAACACAUAUCAUGUGGUGAAUAAAAAUAUAGCUCCAAGUAAAGUUACCGAUGGAAGUAGACGAAAGAGGGGAUGCCUUCCGGGGCAUCCCCAAGCUUUGGGUUUUAGGUGUCCUUAGAUUAUCUUGGUGUGCCAUGGGCAUCCCCAAGCAUAGGCUCUUGCCACUCCUUGUUUCAUAAUCCAUCAAAUCUUUCACCCAAAACUUGAAAACUUCACAACACAAAACUCAGCAGAAAAUCUCGUGAGCUCCGUUAGCAAAAAACAAAACACCACUUCAAGGUACUGUAAUGAACUCAUUCUUUAUUUAUGUUGGUGUUAAACCUACUGUAUUCCAACUUCUGUAUGGUUUAUAAACUAUUUUACUAGCCAUAGAUUCAUCAAAAUAAGCAAACAACACACGAAAAACAGAAUCUGUCAAAAACAGAACAGUCUGUAGUAAUCUGUAACUAACGCAAUUUUCUGGGACUCCAAAAAUUGACCCAAAAUAGGAAGACCUAGACAAUUUUUUUAUUGAUCAGCAGCAAUUGGAAUUAAUAUUUUAUCACGUCCUGGUGAUUUUUAACAAUUAUUUUCGUGAACAGAAAGUUUCUGGAAUUUUCAGCAAGAUCAAAUAACUAUCAUCCAAGAAGAUCCUAUAGGUUAAACUUGGCACAAACACUAAUUAAAACAUAAAAACACAUGUAACCAGAGGCUAGAUCAAAUAUUUAUUCCUAAACAAAAGAAAAAAUCAUAAAAACUAAAAAUAAAAUUGGGUUGCCUACCAACAAGCGCUAUCGUUUAACGCCCCUAGCUAGGCAUAAUAGCAAUGAUAGAUCUAGGUAUUGCCAUCUUUGGUAGGCAAUCCAUAAGUGGCUCUCAUAAUAGAUUCAUAAGGUAAUUUUAUUUUCUUUCUAGGGAAGUGUUCCAUGCCUUUCCUUAAUGGAAAUUGGAAUCUAAUAUUCCCUUCCUUCGUAUCAAUAAUUGCACCAAUCGUUCUAAGGAAAGGUCUACCAAGAAUAAUAGGACAUGAAGGAUUGCAAUCUAUAUCAAGAACAAUAAAAUAUAUGGGCACAUAAUUCCUAUUUGCAACAAUAAGAACAUCAUCAAUUCUUCCCAUAGAUUUCUUAAUGGUGGAAUCCGCAAGGUGCAAGUUUAAAGAGCAAUCAUCAAAAUCACGGAAACCUAGCAAAUCGCACAAAAUCUUUGCAAUCGUGGAAACACUAGCACCCAAAUCACACAAAGCAUAGCAUUCAUGAUCUUUAAUUUUAAUUUUAAUAGUAGGUUCCCACUCAUCAUAAAGUUUUCUAGGGAUAGAAACUUCCAACUCAAGUUUUUCUUCAUAAGAUUGCAUCAAAGCAUCAACGAUAUGUUUAGUAAGGCUUUAUUUUGACUAUAAGCAUGUGGAGAAUUUAGCACGGAUUGCAACAAGGAAAUACAAUCUAUCAAAGAGCAAUUAUCAUAAUUAAAUUCCUAGAAAUCCAAAAUAGUGGGUUCAUUAAUAUCUAGAGUUUUGAUUUCUUCAAUCCCACUUUUACCAUUUUUUGCAUCAAGAUCUAAAAACUCCGAAUUUUUGGAACGCCUUCUAGGUAGAGGUGGAUCAUAUUCAGUCCCAUCAUUAUCAAGAUUCAUAUUGCAAAACAAAGAUUUAAUAGGGGACACAUCAAUAACUUUUAGAUCUUCAUCUUUAUUUUCAUAGAAACUAGAAGAACACGCUUUCACAAAACAAUCUUUCUUAGCACGCAUCCUAGCGGUUCUUUCUUUGCACUCAUCAAUGGAAAUUCUCAUGGCCUUGAGAGACUCAUUGAUAUCAUGCUUAGGAGAAAUUGUAUCAGCGUUCCUAGCCAAUUCAUCAAAUUUAAGCAAUUUUUCUUCAAGCAAAGCAUUGAAAUUGUUUUGCGAAUUCAUAAAUUCUUUAACACUAGUCUCAAAUUCAGAAGGCAUCUUAUUAAAAUUUCCAUAAUAAUUGUUGUAGGAAUUACCAUAAUUAUUAGAGGAAUUACUAGGAUACGACCUUGGAUUAAAGUUUCCUCUAUACGCGUUGUUACCAAAAUUAUUCCGACCAACAAAAUUCACAUCCAUAGAUUCAUUAUUAUUCUCAAUCAAAGUAGACAAAGGCAUAUCAUUAGGAUCAGAAGAAACACUUUUAUUAGCAAAUAAUUUCAUAAGUUCAUCCAUCUUUCCACUCAAAACAUUAAUUUCUUCUAUCGCAUGCACUUUUUUAUUAGUGGAUUUUUCGGUGUGCCAUUGAGAAUAAUUAACUAUAAUAUUAUCUAGGAGUUUAGUAGCUUCUCCUAAAGUGAUUUCCAUAAAAGUGCCUCCCGCGGCCGAAUCUAAAAGAUUUCUAGAAGAAAAAUUCAAUCCGGCAUAAAAUUUUUGUAUAAUCAUCCACAAAUUCAAACCAUGAGUAGGGCAAUUACGUAUCAUUAAUUUCAUCCUCUCGCAAGCUUGUGCAACAUGUUCAUGAUCAAGUUGCUUAAAAUUCAUAAUAUCAUUUCUAAGAGAGAUGAUCUUAGCGGGAGGAAAAUACUUAGAGAUAAAAGCAUCUUUGCACUUAUUUCAAGAAUCACUACUAUUUUUAGGCAAAGACAAAAACCAAGCUUUAGCACGAUCUCUAAGCGAAAAAGGAAAUAGCUUCAAUUUAACAAUAUCUUUGUCCACAUCUUUCUUCUUUUGCAUAUCACACAAAUCAACGAAGUUGCCAUGUCUAGGAAUGCUUGAAGCUUCAAAGAUUUCCUAUAAUACAACAUGCCUCUAACUAUUCACAAUAAGAAAAACAUGUAAAUGCGGAAUCAACCAAAUGAUGGUAAAUUGUAGUUGAUUUUGGCCAAGCAAACGUGAGAUGAAAGAAACAUACAUGAGUGAACAUCACGAUUGGAUGUUUUAUUCAAAUUUAACAGGUUAAACUCACCAAAUCCAUCUGGAUAUUUAGUAUUAAACUUUAACAGAUGGUCAGUUGUAGCUAGAUUCACACCACUGAAGCAAAAUUCCAUCUGCCACGGUUACAUCACACCAUCUUUUCAUCGUUACUAUUUAAAUUCCAAAUGCCUGCAACUCAUUUUUUUGUUAUGAUGUAUGCAUGAUUUUUAACUCAAGAGGAAGAGGGGAAACUAAAUCCAAGAAAAGAACACCAAGGAAGCAUCCAAAAUAGAGAAAGGAAAAAUCCAAAAUAGAGGCAGAAUCGAAGGGAAGAAACCCCAUAAAAAAUAGGAGAUCAAACGGUGAAAAAAAUCUAAGAGUCAAACAAUUCCAGGUAAGACCAAAUCGACGGCAAAAUAGCACAAGAGGGACUCACAUUAACAGGUAUACCAGGUAUACCAAUUCAGAAAGAAGUGUAAAGCGAACAGUGCAAUGGACCACUAGUAUAAAUUGGAUGUACACAAACAUGGGACUUAAACAGGAACUGCGAGAUGCAGGGUUCACGUGCAAACCCAAAAAACGGAAAACUGAAACCCACAACAAGAUUUUAUCUUCAUGUUUGUGUAUUAGUUGCUUCUUCCGAAUCCCCACCUAUCAAGCGUUUUCUCUGAAUAAACAAACAGAAUAGUAUUCUCUGAAUUAUACUGUACAACGGUAUUUAACAAAGCGACUGGAAUUAACAAUAUUAUGAGCUAUUGGCUUUUUAGUCAGGUAAAUAUCAUUCUUAAGACUACGGAAAACAGCAGGCGGCGAAGAAAACAUCUAUUGAUGAGAACUAUACACAUACUUAAGAAGGAAGUGACAUCUAUGGUAGCAGAACAUAUAUCAAGCUGUUGCAGCUACAUUAGCAGUUUAGCACAGUUCCUCCAUAAUACACAGGCUAGUGUAAUUUCACAAAUACAAUAAGCUAACAAUAUAUAUUUGGUAGAUGGAAAUGGCUGGAUCAUGACCAAUAUACCAUUACACAUCCGAUGAUGCAAAUAAAGAAACGAGGCCCAACAAUAGUGGAAAAUAAACCACAAUAGAACAUGUAUUUGGCGAAACCUCCAUACUGCAAUAUCAAACAUGAAUUGAAAUUAACAAUCUAGCAAAAAAACAUGACAGAUGCAGUCUUGGUCAUUUUUCCUUUUGUGACAUCCCCUAAAAAAGUAAAAACAAUGUUGUUCGUAUUUUACCAGAGAUACACUGAGCUGGGACAAUUCGGUCUGAAAUAAAAUAUGAUGGCUUCGGAGGAUUCGGAAGGCAAGAAAUUUGCUUUCUUCCAACAUAUAUGGUCUGCUGAACUAAACUUCGUUUCAACGGGCUUUGGCAAAAAUUUGUAACUGCAAACAUCAACUUGUGUGCCCGUCCUACGUCAAACUUUAACCCUGACGGAUUAAAUAUUUUAGGUUAGGCUGAGAUCAGUGUACUUUAUGAGUGUUAAGUGUACUUUCUAAAUAGCAGAGAAACCAUAACAUCUAAGCACAACCCAGCAACUUGUACAAGCUAACAUCAAAUCUGAAAGAGGAAAUGUCGAGAACAGGUGAAGGUACCAUGAUCCACGACUGAGCAAAGUUAUCUAUAAUCCUCGGUGAAUAUCAUAAAUUAGGAUCAACUACGCUGAAGAACAAACGGGAAAGGAACCUAGAAAGAUCUUCUGCCGGUAGAAUAUAACUGAUACACUAUCCUCAUUCUCGAGAUCAAGGUCGUUUCUUGAAUUGCAGUUUCCUCACUGUAGUAUGGGGUCAUUACACUGCGAAGAACAAAGUGUCAUAUGAAUCAUUUAGAGCCCAAUAUUUUUCACUGAAACUCUUAUGAUCACAUAACGAAUUUAAACAUAAGGUUUAUUAGAUAUUUGUUGUUGUGAACAGAUAAUAUAUUUCUGGUGUUGACAAUGUUUUGAUUAUGGAUGCACUUCAAGAUGGGUGGCACAGAUUCUGUUGUACAGGCCUCCACCUGGAAUUUCAUCACUUGUUAUUUUUGUUUUAGAAUGUCUAGGUGCAUUUUUCCUUUAAGGUGGAAACAGAUGUACUUGUAUAAGCAACAAGAAUACAAAGCGCCACUGCCAUACAUUGUGGAAGUUCAGUGCUUCUGUUUACAAAAUCUGCUUCCCAAAACAGAAGGAUUUAUAAUUUUUUAUUACAAUCAAGCGGACAUGAGCUGAUGAGUACAGAUGUAGACAUGUACUGAGAGCAGCACCCUUUCAAAAGUGGAUCAUUUACAAGUUGGAUAGUUUGAUGGUCUGAAAUUAGUGGUCGUGUUUCAGAAUUGUUAUCGAAUAGUAGGGGAUAUAUAUUAACUUCUGAAAUUAGUGGCUGUUUGUCAGAACUGUUAUCGAAUAACAGAGCACAUAUAUUAACUUCAAUAAGUGGAGUAAUAUUUUUGGAUUCGCUGUGAGGAAAGAUUACCAAAACAAAACAGAAGUGAGUGCGAGGACCCAGAUCAAGGCGCUCUUGAGCCUCUUCCCGACCGACCUAGAUGCAGGAGCAGAACACGGCGGAUCUAAUCAGCCAACGAAUAAAGCUGAGGCAGGUAGAGGAAGUAAGGGAGGAAGAAGACUGACUUUUCCUGGUCGCCCUCGUAGUAGAACCUGUGUUUUGAUUUUCGGCCGAAAAAAGUGGAUUUCGGCCAUCUCGGCCUGGGGCGAAAAGUGUAUUUAGGCCGAAAUUGUUCAAAUUUAGCAAAUUUUGGUCAAAUUUAAGUCAAAUUGCAGUCAAAAUUUGGUCAAAUUUCAGCCGAAAUUUUUGAAAAUGGCCGAAAUUCGGCCAUCUCAGCCUAGGGAGAAAAAAAAGCUCAAACCGAAAAUCAAAACACAGAGUAGAACAUGGCGAACAGGAUGACGAGGAAGACGAGGACAGCGUCGAGGAUGUAGACGACGAGCCAGAGCGUGUUCAUGGGCAGGAUCAAGCAUGGGCAGGAUAAGGGCGCAGGCCCCGUUGUAGGCGGCGUGCUUGCAGGCCUGGCGGUUGGCGACGUCGGCGGGGAGCAUGAGGAUGGCGAGGACGGCGACGGUGAUGCCGAGCACGACGACGAGCUUGAGGAAGUAGGCCUGGUUGGCAUCAUCCGGCUGCUGGUAGUUGACGAGCAGGUAGACGCUGACGAGGAGCACCAGGAUGCUGACCACCGCCGCCACGAUCACUAGCGCCACGUUAAAAACCCCAUCUCCUCGGGGCUCCGGUCCCGGUUCCGGCCCGCCGCCUCGCCCCCAUUGGUCGGUCAGAUCUCUCUGUCCCUAGAGGCGGGGGGACACAGGCUAGGGUUUGGGCGUGGGCGGGGAAUAGGCUGCUAUGGUGCCGGCAGCGGGGCGUGUAGGAGAGAAGGAUUAGGAGGAAUAAUUCACCACACUUUGCUUAAGCUCUCGGCUGGUUCUUAUGUAUAGAUUACAGGGCCAGCCAGGGAGAUCAUGGGGUGAUCCACUACCUGGGAUCGUGCGCCACGAUCACUACAUGCGUGCGCCACGAUCAUAUACACACACGCUACACCUAGUGUCUACGCAACUACGGUAUAGCAGUACAGUACAGUCUAACACCCCCCCGCAGUCGUGACGUCGUCGGCGGCGACGCAAAGACUGGACCGGAACUCAGAGAAAACAUCCGAUGGCAGGCCUUUGGUCAUGAUGUCCGCGAGUUGUUGGCGCAUGGGGAUGUGAAGAACACGGAAGUGGCCGAGGGCGACGCGCUCCCGCACGAAAUGGAUGUCCAGCUCCACAUGCUUAGUGCGGCGAUGAUGCACCGAAUUGGCUGACAGGUAGACUGCGGACACAUUGUCAUAGUACACCAGUGCCGCCUUGGUCACUGGAGCGGAGAGCUCGCCGAGAAACUGGCGGAGCCAGAUGCAUUCAGCGACCGCGUUGGCAACGCCGUGGUAUUCAGCUUCGGCACUGGAGCGCGAUACGGUCGCCUGGCGCUUGGAGGACCAGGAGAUGAGAGCAUCGCCGAGGAAGACGCAGAAGCCCGACGUGGAGCGUCGGGUGUCGGGGCAGCCGGCCCAGUCCGCGUCGGUGAACGCACGGACGUCGAGCGUGGUCGAGGCGCGAAGAUGAAGCCCGAGUGUGCAGGUGCCCUUCACGUACCGGAGCACGCGCUUGACGAGCGCGAGGUGACAUUCGCGCGGGUCAUGCAUGUGCAAGCAGAUUUGCUGGACGGCGUAGGCGAUCUCUGGGCGCGUGAUGGUGAGGUAGUGCAGGGCCCCGGCGAUGCUCCGAUAGGCUGAGGGGUCGUCGACGCAGGGCCCAUCGGCUGAGGGGAGUUUGCUCUUCGUGUCGAUGGGUGUCGGGGAAGGGUGGCAGGUGUCCAUGCCGGCGCGUUCCAGGAGUUCGUCGGCAUAUUGUUGUUGCGACAGGAAGAAGCCAGCUCGGGUGCGGGUCACGCGGAUGCCGAGGAAGAAGGCGAGCGAGCCCAGGUCCUUCAUGGUGAAUUCGCCUGUGAGGCGUUGGAUGACAUGGUGAAGCACGCGUGACGAGGACGCGGUGAGCACGAUGUCGUCGACGUAGAGGAGGAGGAACGCCAUGUCGUUGCCGUGCCGGAAGGUGAACAGCGACGAGUCCGAACGCGUAGCUGCGAAGCCAAUGGAGCGGACGAAGCCGGCGAAGUGGAGGAACCAGGCACGGGGCGCCUGCUUGAGCCCGUACAAGGACUUGGAGAGGCGGCGAACGUGCUCUGGUUUGUCGGGGUCGACGAAUCCGGCGGGCUGGAGGCAGUAGACUUCCUCCUCCUAGUUGCCGUGGAGGAAGGCGUUGGAGACGUCGAGGUGGUGCACCGGCCAGCCGCGUGACGCGGCCAGAGUGAGCACCGUGUGGAUCGUCGCUGGCUUGACGACGGGGGAGAACAUCUCGCCGUAGUCGACGCCGGCACGCUGAUGAAAGCCCCGCACGACCCAGUGUGCUUUGUAGCGGGCCAGCGCGCCGUCGGCGUCGUUUUUGUGCUUGAAGAUCCACUUCCCUGUGAUCAGGUUGGCGCCCGGGGGGCGGGCACCAGCUCCCACGUGCGAUUGCGCACGAGCGCAUGGCACCGAGCCAGUUCGGGUCGCGAACAGCAGCGCGAAGCGAACGUGGCACCGGCGACACCGAUGAUGAGGUAGAGGCGGUGGCCGCGUCGUAGUAGCGUGGGUUGGGGCGGAAGAUGCCGCGCUGGGCACGCGUGACCAUGGGCACAGGAGGCGCCGGUGCGCGGCGCGCCGCUGGUGGCGCGCUCGGAGACGAGCUGUCGGAGGAGCCGCUGGCGGAGUUGUCGGAGGAGCCGCUGGCGGAGGCGAAGACAGGCGGACCAGGCGCGGAUGGGCACGUCGAGGAUGGAGCCGAGCCGCCAUCGGAAGCGCCCGCAGCGUACCGCGAGCUGACGCGGCGCGCCUCGCUGGUUGGCGAGGAUGAGCGGGGCAGGCCGGUGAUGGAGAUCGGGCGCGCCGGCAGCACGGGUGACAUGCUGCUGUCAGGCACCAGUGGAAGCGCGGGCAGCGCAGGAGGCCGGACGACGAGCGGGAUCUGCAGGGUAGAGGGUAUGACGGGUGGCGUAGGCGACGGGGAAGAGGAUGCGAACGGGAAAACGUGUUCGUGGAAGAGAACGUGGCGAGACGUGAGGACGCGGCGAGAGGUGAGGUCAAAGCAGCGAAAACCACGAUGAUCGGGAGGGUACCCGAGGAAGACGCAGGCGAUAGAACGUGGCUCGAGCUUAUGGCGGGUGGUGGCGGUGACGUUCGGAUAGCAGAGGCAUCCAAAGACGCGGAGCUGCGAGUAAUCUGGGGCGACGCCGAGCAGGAGUUCAUGCGGAGUGCAGGGCGCCGAGGCGCGGUAGGGCCGACGAUUGAGCAGGUAGGUCGAGGUGUUGAGAGCCUCUGCCCAGAAGCGAGCGGGCAUGUGCGCAUGACAGAGAAGCACACGAACGCCGUCGUUGAUCGUGCGGAGAACUCGCUCGUCCUUGCCGUUCUGCUGACUGGUGUAUGGGCAGGUGAGACGGAAGUGUGUGCCGUGGCGAGCAAGCAGAGAGCGCACGGCUGCGCUGUCGAAUUCACGACCAUUGCCCAUUUGCAGUGCAAGUAUGGGUAACUGAAACUGAGUCUGAACAUAGGCAAAGAAAUCAACAAGUAUGGGAAGAACUUCAGACAUGUGUUUCAGAGGGAAAGUCCAGACAUAGUGACUGAAAUCAUCUAGUAUAACUAAGUAAAACUGAUAGCCGGAUAUGCUUACAACGGGAGCGGUCCAUACAUCAAGGUGUAAAAGCUGGAAAGAACUAGCAGUGGUGGAUGUCUGAAACGGGAGCCAGGUGUGUUUGCCAACACGACAGGCAUGACAGACAGGCGGAUCACGGCAGAACUCCAGGGACUGAUCAACAGCAACAGUGCGGAGUGCGGCAGCCCCUGGGUGGCCAUGCGUUGGUGCCGGGUGCAGGCGUGGGGUACGCCGGGGGAGGGCGGGGAGCCUGGGAGGACGGCGUGGGCGGGCCACCAAUGCCGUUGCCACGUCUGCGGCGGCGUCCGCGCCCACGCCCUUGGUUGGUGUUGCUGGGCGGGGGUGUGGGUGGUGUAGGAGAGCCGCCACGCCCGGCGACGAGAGCGUGCGCAGACUGCUGGCGAGUGGUCGACUGCUCUGCUCGGUGUUCCUCAAGCAGGACGAAGGAGCGCACCUGCAGGAACGACGGGAGCGGGACCUGCGAGGUGAUGUGAGGGAUGGCGGAGUGGAACUGCUGGUUCAGACCGCGGAGCAGGUUGAAGACCUGCCGCGAGUCGGUUACCGGCUGCCCGAGGUCGCGGAGUCGAUCCGUGAACGACUUCAUCUUGGUGCAGUACGCCAUGAUCGACAUGUCGCCCUGAACGACAUAGUGGUACUCGGCGUCGAGGUAGACAGCGCGAGCGAGGUGGUUGUCGCGGAAGAUUCCAUCGACCGCAGUCCAGAUGGCCAGAGCAGUGUCGUCCGGCUGCAUGACGACGUCGAGCAGGUCCGGCGAUAUGGUAGUGUAGAACCAGUGGACGACGACGUGAUCAGCCAUGCCCCACUCGGGAUCAUCGUGGCGGUGGAUGGCCAUGGCGUCGACGUGAGUGCGGAGGCCGAACAUGCCGAUGACGGUGUCGAAGUGGCGGCGCCACUGCGUGUAGUUGCCGGCGAGAAGGUCGAGGGUGACCGGGACAUGACGACGGAUGUCCACGGUCUGCAGGAUCGCGGAGGCGACAGGUGCUGUAGGAGGAGGAGGAGGGAUGACGGGCACCGCGGGCGCGACAGGUGCUGGAGCCGGCGGUGCGUUGGCCAGGGGGACAGCGUUGAGGACGCCGUCGGCGCCGUGCUGCGAGGAGCGAGGGGACACGACGGGGUUGUCAUCCAUGGCGGUGGAAGCGGGACUGGCGACCUGCGCGAAGGGAUUGAGCAGGUCGGGGGAGUCUGAUACCAUAUAGGAAAGAAGGAUUAGGAGGAAUAAUUCACCACACUUUGAUUGAGCUCUCGGUUGGGUCUUAUGUACAGAUUACAGGGCCAGGGAGAUCAUGGGGUGAUCCACUACCUGGGAUCGUGCGCCACGAUCACUAUAUGCGUGCGCCACGAUUAUAUACACACAUGCUACAACUAGUGUCUACGCAACUACGGUAUAGCAGUACAAUAAAGUCUAACAGGGCGGCCACCGGCGGGGAGGGCGGGAUCCGUGCGGGGUGGCGGGAUUUGGGCAGGCGGUGGGCUCGGGGGAGGGCGAUGGCAGCGAAGCAGCAAGGAGGGGCUGGAGGAGAUGAAACGAAAGAGGUCGCGUGACACAGCGACAGCGUAGUCCAAUCCCCUCGCUGCUGAUUUAAAAAAAAGGUAAUGAUAACUCCCGAACGUUCGGGAGUUAAGCAUGGCAACCCGAACGGGUUUAGAUGGCAAGUUUAGUUUGCGUGAGAUUAGGGAAACAUGGCAAUUUUCUGACAAAAGAAAUGAAAAAGGACGAAGUUGCCAUCCCCUAUCAACUAAAGUUGCCAUCCCCUAUAAAUUAAAGUUGCCAUGUAAAAACGUUCGGGACGAAAUGCUCAAAAUCCGAACGUUCGGAAGUUACUGGAUUCAAAAAAAUCCCCUUGCUGCCAAUCGCUGGCCCGUUUCUUUUUUCGCCCAAUCGCUAGGUGAUGACGUGGCUAUCGCGGGAAGGCGCCCUUGAUGCGUAGUCGAAUGGUUUUAAUUAAUAGGAAACGAGUGCUUACUCUAGUUACUGAAUCAUGUACACCAAAUAAAGCCAUUUACACGUAGUUAAUGACAAAAAAAGUUGAUGUUUGCUACGCAAAUGUGUAGUACAAAUUAAGAAGUGCAAGAUUAAAAAAAAAUGCUGGUCCUUGAUUCGUUGUUGAUCGUCAGCAUGCCAUCAUCAAUUUGUAGUUAAUUAUCAUACAAAUUGGCUCUUUCAUAGAGUUGGAGGCUAGCUCCUUUGAUCAGCACGCGCUUAAACACAAACAGCACGUAUAUGUUUUGUCUCCGGAGUUCAAUUCUUCAUCGGCCAGCAAAAAUGGCCCGACCGGGUAGAGGAAAAGGCAUGUUUGUUAGUACGCCUGGAGGAAAUGCCUUUGAUUACGGCAUCUUCAACAGCGACCAGUAAAUUUCCUUCCGCGUUCGUUCACGGAUAGGGGAUCAGUCUGCGGAUACGAAUACAGGAAUCAUCCAUCCAACGCUGUCCGCGUAUAUUUCAAACACAUUUUUUUUUUAAAAUAGGAUGAAAUUCAUGCAAACACAAUGGAUUUCAUACAAACCGGACAAAAAUGUUUACAUUUUGGACAUAUUUUUUUACUAAAAACUCUACAGCCGGCGCCGGCGAAUAUCCACCCCGGCGACAUGGAUACCCUUGACUAGUCUACUGCCGGCCGCAGCGGAUCUCCAAUGUCGUCCCCAUAUCCGGCAGCUAUGAGCCCUAGAGGUAUAUGCUUCAGCGCAAAGAGCGGCUCGCCUCCCUACCGCUCAUCGGAGUGGAACAACCAGCUGAUGCUUCUGCCGAUGGAAAGGGUCCCUACGCUACACGGAUUAGAGUUGGUUUUCGGCUGGGAACGGCGGUGGCCUGCCAGAGGGCAAGACACCGACUGUGUAUGCUGGUGUCACCUGGUGUGGCAUUCGUGGGACCCAAGCGGCAGCGCCUCCUCGAUGAUGGCGGCGAGCGCGGACGUGUUUGACACCACCUCGUCGAUGUCCGUGCAGCCGGCUUCUUUCUCUGUAGGAAGGACGCGGUUACGCUUGCGUUGACAUCGGAUGACUCGGUCACAUGCACGGGAGGGGCGGUACGACAUGGCACCGCCAAUGGCAGCCAUGAUGCCCACGCCACCGUGCUCCCUCCCAGUGCCGAUCUAGAGCAACUUGCCACUCCUCUGCUCGUGACCGGUGGGCUUGACGGGCCACCUAGCCAUUUUUUAUGCCAGACAACUCUUCUUCCUGCUCGUCAGAUGUCAUGGAUAAAACUGUUUAAGGAGGAAAAUGAUGAGUGGACGUGUGAUGCGGUUCUUGCCCAACAUCUGACAUUGUUUAAAUAGCGAGGGGAGACGAGAGGAGCCAACCGGCGUACUGUUUAAUGCCAACCGGCUCGCGAACGAACAUGUGGCCGGAGUAAUUAUCCUAGCACACACGCGGGUUUAAUGGUGGAAGGCGGGCAGUCUGCAGGAAUGAGGCGAGGAUGUGUGCUUAGCCGGCGUGCAGCAGGCGGCGCCCUCGGCCGGCGUGCUGCUUCCAUUGCGGAGGCAGUGAGAGGUCGCGUCCGCUCUGCAGCGCAUGAAUGCGGGCAGCUGGCGCAGAGCGGGAACGCGUGCGGGCGAGGGAGGAGGGGGUUUGGGCGGGUGGUCAGAAGAGGUCGUGGGUGUUGUCCGAACGCCUGCAAAGCCCCCCUCCAUGUUUGUCUCCAGUUUGCGGGAGAAAGUACGUCCGGACCGUCUCCAAUGGACCAAUACAGGCCCGCAUUGGAUAGCACAACACGUCCGGACCAUGUGGUCCGGAUGGUUGUGGACAGUUUAAUUGAGGGUCGGCGUUGGAGAUGCCUUAGAGUUUAUGAAUCCAUUGUGUUUUUCUAAUCAUAAAAAAUCACUUACAAUAAGUUAUAAGGAAAGACACGUUUAUAUGUUAGGUUCAGACUCCAGCUUUCGUUUUACAUAUGCUUUAUUCAUCCGACUGAUUCCAAUAGAGUGAGCCUAGCGUUGUUUUUCUGGAAACUCGCGGGAUAAGGAGACAUGCAUACACAUUCUUUCAAGCAAAUCACAUCCAUUUUUUUUAACUCAUUUUUCUUCUUUUAAUAAUAUAAUAGAUCAUUUAUAUUUUUUAUCUGAAACAGUUGACGUGUAAUUUAUAUUGUAAUCUGAGGAUAAUGUUUGGAUUUUACUUUCAAAUAUAUUUGAAAUGGCCAUGAUGGAAUCACAUCCAUUUAUUUUAUUAUUAUUUGAAUUUGAUCCAAAAGAUAAAUAAUGAGUAGAGGUCAUGUCAACUUUUCUGAGAACUUUGCUAAUCAAAAUAUAAAUUGUAUUUAAAAACAUCUAUUUUUUAGCACGCAUGAAAAACAUAACACGUAUCUUUUCACACAUAAUGAACGGUUGUCAUAAGAACUCAUGCCAUGCCACAACCUCCCUCCGACCCUGCCAACAUUGUUGCAGCUGCACUCGCAAGCCUUAGCGUAGAUGAUAAUUUAUACAAUUUGCGUAAAACAAAAUAAGAUCUACAAAUGAAUAGAAGCUAGAACGUACAUUGGCAUGCACACACAUUGCAAGCCAUACUAAGCUGAUAAGUGUUAAUAACUUGUACAACAUAUACAACACUUAAGACAAGUAAAAGCAAUUUGAUGAGUCAUGGUCUAUCAAAGCCACAUUACUAGUCUAAUCCAUCUUAACAGGUCACACAUGAUUAAAAUCUUGUUUGUGUGCAAGUCAAGCUUAUCUAGUUUACAUGUAACAACUUGUAGAACAUUACAAAAUUUAUGUUUGCUAAUAACUUCUAGAACACUACAACACUUGACAUGUAAAAGGAAUUUGAUGAGUCAUGGCCUACUAAAGCAAGUUAUAUUACUAGUCUUAUCUACCAUAACAGGCCACACAAGAUUACAAACCAAGUUCUGUGCCAGCCAUGCUUAUCUAGUUUAUGCGUAACAAUUUGCAGAAAAUUACAAACUUAGUUUCAGAAAAAUAGGCAAUCUAGAUUAGUGUUUGAGCUGUAAAGUGAAUAAAAUGAGUCAUGCGUGUUAUCACACCUUUUUGGUUGUGGAAUGAUAGUGCAACAACAAGGAACUUUAAUGACCAGUUCAAGAAUACACUUGUAAGUAGUGCCACCGAACACAACAUACCAAAUUAUGAUUUUGAGAAGCAUCCAAGCACAUCCACACAAGCAAAUGCCAAUUGUGAAAGAGAUCAUGCCAUGGCAGCUAUAAAUAGGCCCGUAGCAUGACGAUCAUCCUUCCUCAUCCAUCAUUCUCAUAAGUAGAGCGCAUCAUUUAAGCCAAGCAAGCAGUGCUCAAUACAAAUCCACCAUGAAGACCUUUCUCAUCCUUGCCCUCCUUGCUAUUGUAGCAACCACCGCCACAAUUGCAGUUAGAGUUCCAGUGCCACAAUUGCAGCCACAAAAUCCAUCUCAGCAACAACCACAAGAGCAAGUUCCAUUGGUACAACAACAGCAAUUUCCAGGGCAGCAACAACCAUUUCCACCACAACAGCCAUAUCCGCAGCCGCAACCAUUUCCAUCACAACAACCAUAUCUGCAGCUGCAACCAUUUCCGCAGCCGCAACUACCAUAUCCGCAGCCGCAACCAUUUCGACCACAACAACCAUAUCCACAACCGCAACCACAGUAUUCGCAACCACAACAACCAAUUUCACAGCAGCAGCAGCAGCAGCAACAACAACAACAACAACAACAACAGAUCCUUCAACAAAUUUUGCAACAAUAACUGAUUCCAUGCAGGGAUGUUGUAUUGCAACAACACAGCAUAGCGCAUGGAAGCUCACAAGUUUUGCAACAAAGUACUUACCAGCUGGUGCAACAAUUGUGUUGUCAACAGCUGUGGCAGAUCCCCGAGCAGUCGCGGUGCCAAGCCAUCCACAAUGUUGUUCAUGCUAUUAUUCUGCAUCAACAACAACAACAACAACAACAACCGUUGAGCCAGGUCUGCUUCCAACAGCCUCAACAACAAUAUCCAUCAGGCCAGGGCUCCUUCCAGCCAUCUUAGCAAAACCCACAGGCCCAGGGCUCUGUCCAGCCUCAACAACUGCCCCAGUUUGAGGAAAUAAGGAACCUAGCGCUAGAGACGCUACCUGCAAUGUGCAAUGUCUAUAUCCCUCCAUAUUGCACCAUUGCUCCAGUUGGCAUCUUCGGUACUAACUGAGAAUAGAAUAACUCUAGUAGUAGAUAUAUGAUACACCGUUUUCUUAGUCCAUGGUUUGGUCGUUGUAGCGGUGAAAAAAUAAAGUGACAUGCACUAUCAUGUAAGAACCCGAACUAUACUAUUUCAAACAUGGGAAUAAAAGACAAACACAUGUCUUGUCUACAUAUGAUUGUUUGUUUGAGUUCCACUCAUGUGCCCACUCACAAGUUCACCCCUAAUUAUAUAUAUUAUGCAUUAAGUAGAUAUUUAUGUUGCAUUAAUCUAAAGAUAACAAAAUGAGUCUGAAAUUUGAAUUAAAUUGAAGUAUUUCCUUGGACUUUCAAAUGGAGUAUUAUUAAAGUAGUAAGGACUAUCCACAUCCUUGGCUUGCCCUUGAUCAAUUAUUUCCAGAGAAGCAUUCAAUUCAUCAAUCAAUUACAUUGAUUUUUGUGGCUGGUACUUCUCCUCAACAUGAGUAUAUUCAUCGCGGCUACUCCAAAUAGCCAUGAAUGAGGUACCGGUGCUCUGGAGCACUGGUACCUAACUGCUUCUCAUGUGAAGGGGUGCGGGCGCGGGAGAGGUGUUUUUGGUGGGCCAGGGGAGUAAGAAGCGGCCGUGGCAGCGGUCCAGACGCCCACAAAGCCCCGUAGUUUGUUUUUGGUUUACAGGAAAAUGCACAUCCAGACUGGCCUGCGGGCCGAUAUAGGACCGUAUUGGAUGGCAAAACAUGUCCGGAUGGUCGCGAGCGGUUUAAGGGUUAGCUUUUGUAACACCCGGUUAGUUAUGCUAUGGUAAUUCCCUGCUAAUGAUGUCACGUCAGCACGAUUACUGUUGUUAACCUCACAAUGAUUCAAUCCCAUUCAAAUUCAAAUUUAAAAUAAAGGCAAACAUCAAAAGUUUCAAACAUUAAAACUAAAAUCUUCGAGAGGUGAAAAAUAAUGCAUAAGUAAUUAUGGUGGAGAAACCACACUUUUAUAAAAUGUUUAAAUACUCUAAAAAUAAUAAAACAGUGGCUUAAACUAUUAUUUAAAUGCUUUUAAAAUAGUAAAAAUGUUCUAACUAAAUUAAUUGGGUACCAAACUUUUGGUGGCAGUGGUAUAUUUAGUAGAACUAAUUUAGAUGCUAAUAAAACAUAAAAGGAAAGACAAAACAAAUAAAAGUAAAAGGGGGCAACCCUUGGCUGGGCCUCGGCCAAGCUGGGCACUUGGCUAGCUAGGUUGGCCCAACCGCCUCCCUUAACCCCCCACUCCCCAUCGAACCCUAGACCGAUCGCCCCACUUCCCCCCCACCCCCUCGUCAGCCUCCCCACCUCUCGAUCCCAUCUGGAUCGGGGAGGGGAUCGCCUUCAUCGACCCCGUCGCGGUCGCUGGAUCGCCCGCUCGCCCAUCGCCCGCCGGCGUCGCCGGACCUCCUCCCCGUCGCAUGUCUCCGGCUCUCCUCCCCUCUCGCUCCUCUUCCCCGACCCGAUCUAGAUCGGGAAGGGCCAAUGAGCCCAACGCCCCCCUCCAUCGACGCUGUGCUCCAGCACCGCCGCCCGAAGACCUCGCCAUCGCCGGACCUCGCGUCGCCUCCUCGUAUCCCUCCCCGACUCGCCUCCUCAAGCCACGCCGACCCCCUCUCGGCAACGCCGUGAGCCGCACCCGUUUCCCUCCUUCUCUUUCCACCGUGUUCACCGCGCCGCCUGCCGUGCCCCUCGCCGCGCGCACGCCCACCACCGCGCCAGCCCCCGCUCCCGCCCUCUCCUGCACGCUUGUGCGCGCAUGACCCUAGCCGCGCCCACGCCGUGAUCCCCUUGUCCCGCCCGCCUUCGUCCCGCGCUCGCCGCGGCCCCCAUGCUCCCCUGCGCCCUCUUUUGGGGCCGUCGGCUGCCCCUGUCCCGCAGCUCGCUGGCAUGCGUCCCCGCCUGCGCCUCGCCACCGCUCUACUGCUACGCUACUAUUGCGCUGUGGCCGCCGCCGCUUCCCGCUGCUCUGCCAGCGCCAAAGCUCCUGGUUGGCCCUGCCGCUGCUCGCGUUUAACCGCCGGCCUAAGCGGCCUAACCUCCCCCCUCGCUAAUGAACCCCCACCGACCCGCUGACACCGGGACCCACAUCCCCUAAUUAACCAUUUAAUAAAUUAAAACUCUUAAAUUAACAUUAGUGUAUGACAUGUGGGUCCCCUAUUAAUUAAACUGAUUUAAUUAAAAUCUAUUAACUUUGAGUCUAUGACAUAUGGGCCCCACUAAACAUUUGACCAAUCAACGGUCCAGUCAAAUGCUGACCGGACAGUUGACCAGAGGGCCCCGCCAGUCAGCCAAUGUGCUGUUCUGCUGGGUACCUUUCUAAGUACACCUAGCAUUUUGCAUUUACAAUAUUUGUUUUAAAAUAAAUUAGAAUAAUUUCAAAAAAAUAUUAAAACUUUUAAAAUUAAAAUAAAAUAAUCCGUAACUCGGAUGAAAUUACUUUAUACAUGGAAGUUGCUCAAAAAAUGAGACGAAUCCGAAUACACAGUCCGUUCGUCUGCCACGCGUCCCUAGCAUAGCGAACAUGCAACCAUCCCCCUCCGGUUCGACUGUCCGAAAAAUUAUUAUUGCACAUGCCCGCUAAGAGGUUGGCUGUAUAUGACAUGACAACUUCUUAUAGCCGAGCCUUGGCUGUAUUAUUAACCAUGCUCUUAGUGAGGUAGCUAGUAUAUCAUAGACGACUAGCUAGUAUCAGACUAGCCAAAGUGGGAGUAACUUCAGCAGUAACAUCGACUCCAACUCAGCAAACUUCCUUAUGUGGGAGUAAACCGUGCCCAAUGCAAAAUACAAUCCCAGUCGUAAUUUUUUCAGGAAACGUGUGGGAUCCCAAACGAAAAGCACACGUCACUCUUGCGGCAACCGUCGGUGACACCCAAUAAAUCACAAACGGUCUGCAGCAGCUGUAUGUGUGCAAAGGGGCUCCUGAACCGUUUGUGAUAGAACAUUAUCGCAGACGGUAAUUGUUGGCAAACGUGUGCGAUGGAGUCUAGCAUGGCAGACGGGUUACGCAGAAAACUCGUGUGUGAUGGGGCACAAAUCGCACACAGUUCAUAUGUUGGUCCAUGUGCCUUACAUACUAUUUCCCAAAUGGUUUGUUACGACAGACCGUAUCGUUUCAGUGCGUCAUUAGAAACGCUUAAUCACUGAUACCACACGUGCGAAAGAAAUUAGUGCGUGAUGCAUCGCACACGAUUACAUUUUGGAAGGCCUCUGGAUCACUGCUCCAUAUCCCCGACGGUUUCUGGGCCGUGUGGGAAGGACACCCUAUCGCACACACUCACUUGGCGAUGGUUCCAAAUGCUGUCGCAGAAAAGGGUUAAAAACAGUUUGUUUAGGACCGACGCGUACCAGUGUCUAUCUAUCUAUCUAUCUAUCUAUCUAUGUAUCUAUCUAUCUAUCCAUCUAUCUAUCUAUCUAUCUAUCUAUCUAUCUAUCUAUCUAUCUAUCUAUCUCAAUCCACCUAUCUAUCUAUCCAUCUAUCUAUCUCUCCAUCUAUCCAUCUAUCUAUCCAUCUAUCCAUCCAUCUACUAUCCAUCUAUCUAUCCAUCCAUCCAUCUAUCUAUCCAUCCAUCCAUCUAUCUAUCUAUNNNNNNNNNNNNNNNNNNNNNNNNNNNNNNNNNNNNNNNNNNNNNNNNNNNNNNNNNNNNNNNNNNNNNNNNNNNNNNNNNNNNNNNNNNNNNNNNNNNNNNNNNNNNNNNNNNNNNNNNNNNNNNNNNNNNNNNNNNNNNNNNNNNNNNNNNNNNNNNNNNNNNNNNNNNNNNNNNNNNNNNNNNNNNNNNNNNNNNNNNNNNNNNNNNNNNNNNNNNNNNNNNNNNNNNNNNNNNNNNNNNNNNNNNNNNNNNUCUAUGUAUCCAUUUAUCCAUUGAUCCAUCUAUCGAUCCAUCCAUCCAUCCAUCUAUCCAUCAAUCUAUCUAUCCAUGUAUCCAUGUAUCCAUCUAUCCAUCUAUCGAUCUAUCCAUCCAUCUAUCUAUCUAUCUAUCCAUCUAUCCAUCUAUCGAUCUAUCCAUCUAUCUAUCUAUCCAUCCAUCUAUCGAUCUAUCGGUCUAUCCAUCUAUCGAUCUAUCCAUCUCUCCAUCUACCCAACUAUCCAUCUAUCCAUCUAUUCAUCUACCGAUCUAUCUAUCCAUCUAUCUAUCUAGCUAUCUAGCUAUCUAGCUAUCUAUCUAUCUAUCUAUCUAGCUAUCUAGCUAUCUAUCUAUCUAGUUAUCUAGCUAUCUAUCUAUCUACCUACCUACCUACCUACCUACCUACCUAUCUAUCUAUCUAUCUAUCUAUCUAUCUAUCUAUCUAUCUAUCUAUCUAUCUAUCUAUCUAUCUAUCUAUCUAUCUAAAGGAAAUAUGCCCUAGAUGCAAUAAUAAAGUUGUCAUUUAUAGUUCGUUAUAUCAUGAUAAACUAGCGGAGUCACCCGCGCAUUUGCGCGGCUAGAUUGACUACAUAUAUUGUUAUAUUUGGGAUUAUUUUUCUAUGCCAAUUUUAUGGCCUCUUACUCAGAUAUUAUCUAAUUGAAUUUACCACCACCAUAUGUUAUAUCCAUAGAUUAUAAUGAAAAGGCAACUUCCGACGAAACAUGGACAGAUUAUUGAGUGCUCAGAAGACGGACGCAAUAUCAUAUAUAGACUUCUAUACCAAUCUUCAUGGUUCCCAUCUUUGAUCCUCUCCUCGUCCCUUGGUAUCUAUCUUUGCACCCAAUAUGUCUUUGGAGUUCCAAGAAUUGAAUCUUAGCAUGAAUGGCUUCAAUGUGUACCAAAUGUUCUCUUGUUCCUCCCAAAUUAAUUACUGGUUGCAUUCUUAGUUGCUUUGACAUUCUUGGUUAAUGCAAUUUCUUGCCUACCAAUAUAUGCAUCCACACACGAUCAUAUUUAUAUGACCACUUACCUCUGUAUUCUGGUAUUUGUGCUUCAGAAUUUUUCUCUCAUUCAGUUUAUUCAUAGAUUAAAAACGUCGAUCGUUUCUUUAUUGGUUUGCAUUAUCUUGUUUGCCGAACGUAAGCAUCCACACAUGCUCGUCAUGAUAUGAUUGGUCAUCAUUGUAUAUUUGUAUUUGUGUGUUGAUAGCUUAAGGAUUUUCUCGGAUUCACUUCAUAGUUUAAGGAUUUUCUCGCGUUCAAUUUAUUCUACCUUAUUCAUUUUCAUGUUUCUUUAUUGCAUUUAUAUCAAUUCUUACAAUAUAUUUUCCAAGAUAUGAACUCAACUACUAAUUACGUAGUUUUUCAUCAAAAAUUACAUGUAAAAAUGUUACAAAUGCAUAAACAUGAUAAAAAUAUAUAUCAUAUUCCAUUGAGAGAUCGCCCAUUUAAAAAAAACACGUUGACUUACAAAAAGGACAAUUCAAGCUGCAUGUACGUCCGACUCAUGUUUACCUGACAAUGUCGAUGUUGAUUUCAGCAGUAAAUGAGCUGUGUGUGACCUUUGCGCUUUCCGGUAUUCUUCUAACCUGUGUGCUUUAUGAUCAGUUUGUUGUGCUUAGUACUGGACACUUGAGUAUACUAUCAUAUUUGGUACAAAUAAAUCUGAACUACUAUAGUUAUGAUCCACUGUAUAGUUAAUGGUGGUGGUAAUUAAUAUAUGUGGUUAAAUACUUGCGCUCCUUAGGUGGGGAGUUGGAUUUGUAUUUCCCUAAAAUAAAUUUCAGAUUUCGUAAUAGUGGUGAAGCCAGCCGGAAGAACCUCUGCGUCAUUAUUAAUUUUGGUGAUAUUUUUCUUCAUAGUGUAGAAUAAUUUUAGUGCUUAUUCCGCAAAAAAUAUGGCCUCAACUGACCCCAUAGCUUGUAUGUUGCGCCACCACUGUUUCCUAUAUCCUAUUACAUCCGUUGUUUUUAGAUCUUGAUGCAUAACUUUGACAAUAUUUAAUAGAUAUGUGUCUGUAUAAAAAAUUAUAAAUGCUAUGAUAAUUUGAUUAAUUAUGAUGAAUAAAAUGUUAUUGCUCUGACUUGAUCCCUCUAGAAUUUUCCAAAAUUUCACAUUACAGUUGUAGUAGUGCAUGCUACCUCUUGAGCACUGCGUUAGUUUUCCCUUGAAGAGGAAAGGGUGAUGCAGUAAAGUAGCGUCAGUAUUUCCCUCGGUUUUUGAGAACCAAGGUAUCAAUCCAGUAGGAGGCCACGCAUGAGUCCCUCGCACCUACACAAACAAAUAAAAUCCUCGCAACCAACGCAAUAAAGGGGUUGUCAAUCCCUUCACGGUCACUUACGAAAGUGAGAUCUGAUAGAUUUGAUAAGAUAAUAUUUUUGGUAUUUUUAUGAUAAAGAUGCAACGUAAAGAAAGCAAAAUAAAAAAAGCGCCAGAAAUAGCUUGUUGACGGGAGAUUAAAAUAGACCGGGGGGCCAUAGGUUUCACUAGUGGCUUCUCUCGAGAGCAUAAGUAUUUUGGUGGGUAGACAAAUUACUGUUGAGCAAUUGACAGAAUUGAGCAUAGUUAUGGGAAUAUCAAGGUAUGAUCAUGUAUAUAGGCAUCACGUCCGAGGCAAGUAGCCCGACUCCUGCCUGCAUCUACUACUAUUACUCCACACAUCGACUGCUAUCCAGCAUGCAUCUAGAGUAUUAAUUUCAAAAGAACAGAGUAACGCUUUAAGUAAGAUGACAUGAUGUAGAGGGAUAAACUCAUGCAGUAUGAUAUAAACCCCAUCUUGUUAUCCUCGAUGGCAACAAUACAAUACGUGCCUUGCUGCCCCUACUGUCACUGGGAAAGGACACCGCAAGAUUGAACCCAAGCUAAGCACUUCUCCCAUCGCAAGAAAGAUCAAUCUAGUAGGCCAAACCAAACUGAUAAUUCGAAGAGACUUGCAAAGAUAACCAAUCAUACAUAAAAGAAUUCAGACAAGAUUCAAAUAUUGUUCAUAGAUAAACUUGAUCAUAAACCCACAAUUCAUCGGUCUCAACAAACACACCGCAAAAGAAGAUUACAUCGAAUAGAUCUCCACAAGAGAGGCGGAGAACAUUGUAUUGAGAUCCAAAAAGAGAGAGGAAGCCAUCUAGCUAAUAACUAUGGACCCGAAGGUCUGAGGUAAACUACUCACACAUCAUCGGAGAGGCUAUGGUGUUGAUGUAGAAGCCCUCCAUGAUCGAUGCCCCCUCCGGCGGAGCUCCGGAAAAGGCCCCAAGAUGGGAUCUCACGGGUACAGAAGGUUGCGGCGAUGGAAUUAGGUUUUUGGCUCCGUAUCUGGUAGUUUGGGGGUACGUAGGUAUAUAUAGGAGGAAGAAGUACGUCGGUGGAGCAACGUGGGCCCCACGAGGGCGCGCCCCCCUACCUCGUGCCUUCCUGGUAGAUUUCUUGACGUAGGGAACAAGUCCUCUAGAUAACGUUCGUUCCCAAAAUCACGUUUCCGAAGGUUUCAUUCCGUUUGGACUCGGUUUGAUAUUCUUUUUCUGUGAAACUCUGAACUAGGCAAAAAACAGCAAUUCUGGGGUGGGCCUCCGAUUAAUAGGUUAGUCCCAAAAAUAAUAUAAAAGUGUAUAAUAAAGCCCAUUAAUGUCUAAAACAGAAUAUAAUAUAGCAUGGAACAAUAAAAAAUUAUAUAUACGUUGGAGACGUAUCAAGCAUCCCCAAGCUUAAUUCUUGCUCGUCCUCGAGUAGGUAAAUGAUAAAAACAGAAUUUUUAAUGUGGAAUGCUACUUGGCAUAAUUUCAAUGUAAUUCUCUUAAUUGUGGUAUGAAUAUUCAGACCCGAAAGAUUCAAGACAAAAGUUUAAUAUUGACAUAAAAAUAAUAAUACUUCAAGCAUACUAACUAAGCAAUUAUGUCUUCUCAAAAUAACAUGGCCAAAGAAAGUUAUCCCUACAAAAUCAUAUAGUCUAGCUAUGCUCUAUCUUCACCACACAAAGUAUUUAAAUUAUGCACAACCCGGAUGACAAGCCAAGCAAUUGUUUCAUACUUUUGAUGUUCUCAAACUUUUUCAAUCUUCACGCAAUACAUGAGCAUGAGCCAUGGACAUAGCACUAUAUGUGGAAUAGAAUGGUGGUUGUGGAGAAGACAAAAAAGGAGAAGAUAGUCUCACAUCAACUAGGCGUAUCAACGGGCUAUGGAGAUGCCCAUUAAUAGAUAUCAAUGUGAGUGAGUAGGAAUUGCCAUGCAACGGAUGCACUAGAGCUAUAAGUAUAUGAAAGCUCAACAAAAGGAACUAAGUGGGUGUGCAUCCAACUCGCUUGCUCAUGAAGACCUAGGGCAUUUUGAGGAAGCCCAUCAUUGGAAUAUACAAGCCAAGUUCUAUAAUGAAAAUUUGCCACUAGUACAUGAAAGUGAUAUCAUAGGAGACUCUCUAUCAUGAAGAUCAUGGUGCUACUUUGAAGAACAAGUGUGGUAAAAGGAUAGUAACAUUGUCCCUUCUCUCUUUUUCUCUCAUUUUUUUAUUUGGGUCUUUUAUCCUUUUUUAUGGCCUCUUUUUUUUAGUCCGAAGUCUCAUCCCGACUUGUUGGGGAAUCAUAGUCUCCAUCAUCCUUUCCUCACUUGGGACAAUGCUCUAAAAAAUGAUGAUCAUCACACUUUUAUUUACUUACAACUCAACAAUUACAACUCAAUACUUAGAACAAAAUAUGACUCCAUGUGAAUGCCUCCGGCGGUAUACCGUGAUAUGCAAUGAAUCAAGAGUGACAUGUAUGAAAGAAUUAUGAACGGUGGCUUUGCCACGAAUACAAUGUCAACUACAUGAUCAUGGAAAGCAAUAUGACAAUGAUGGAGUGUGUCAUAAUAAACUGAACGGUGGUAAGUUGCAUGGCAAUAUAUCUCGGAAUGGCUAUGGAAAUCCUAUGGUAGGUAGGUAUGGUGGCUGUUUUGAGGAAGGUAUAUGGUGGGUGUAUGAUACCGGCGAAAAGUGCGCGGUAUUAGAGAGGCUAGCAAUGGUGGAAGGAAGAAAGUGCGUAUAAUCCAUGGACUCAACAUUAGCCAUAAAGAACUCAUAUACUUAUUGCAAAAAUCUACAAGUUAUCGAAGCAAAGUAUUACCCGCAUCAUCCUAGGGGGAUAGAUUGGUAUGAAAAGACCAUCGCUCAUCCCAGACCGCCACUCAUAAGGAAGACAAUCAAUAAAUAAAUCAUGCUCCGACUUCAUCACAUAACGGUUCACCAUACGCGCAUGCUAAGGGAAUCACAAACUUUAACACAAAUAUUUCGCAAAUUCAAAACUACUCAACUAGCAUGACUCUAAUAUCACCAUCUCCAUAUCUCAAAACAAUUAUCAAGUAUCAAACUUCUCAUAGUAUUCAACACACUCAUAAGAUUUUUUUACUAAUCUUGAGUGCCUAUCAUAAUUAAAGCAAAUUACCACGCUGUUUUGUAGGACUAUCAAAAUAAUCUAAGUGAAUCAUGAGAGAACAAUAGUUUCUAUAAAACAAAACCACCACCGUGCUCUAAAAGACAUACGUGAAGCACUAGAGCAAAAACUAUAUAGCUCAAAAGAUAUAAGUGAAGCACAUAGAGUAUUCUAACAAUUUCCGAAUCAUGUGUGUCUCUCUCAAAAGGUGUGUACUGCAAGGAUUAUUGUGGCAAACUAACAAAUAAAUACUUCAAAUAAUACAAGACGCUCCAAGAAAAACACAUAUCAUGUGGUGAAUAAAAAUAUAGCUCCAAGUAAAGUUACCGAUGGAAGUAGACGAAAGAGGGGAUGCCUUCCGGGGCAUCCCCAAGCUUUGGCUUUUAGGUGUCCUUAGAUUAACUUGGGGUGCCAUGGGCAUCCCCAAGCUUAGGCUCUUGCCACUCCUUGUUUCAUAAUCCAUCAAAUCUUUCACCCAAAACUUGAAAACUUCACAACACAAAACUCAGCAGAAAAUCUCGUGAGCUCCGUUAGCAAAAGAAAACAAAACACCACUUCAAGGUACUGUAAUGAACUCAUUCUUUAUUUAUAUUGGUGUUAAACCUACUGUAUUCCAACUUCUCUAUGGUUUAUAAACUAUUUUACUAGCCAUAGAUUCAUCAAAAUAAGCAAACAACACACGAAAAACAUAAUCUGUCAAAAACAGAACAGUCUGUAGUAAUCUGUAACUAACGCAAUUUUCUGGGACACCAAAAAUUGACCCAAAAUAGGAAGACCUAGACAAUUUUUUUAUUGAUCAGCAGCAAUUGGGAUCAAUAUUUUAUCACGUCCUGGUGAUUUUUAACAAUUAUUUUCGUGAACAGAAAGUUUCUAGAAUUUUCAGCAAGAUCAAAUAACUAUCAUCCAAGAAGAUCCUAUAGGUUAAACUUGGCACAAACACUAAUUAAAACAUAAAAACACAUGUAACCAGAGGCUAGAUCAAAUAUUUAUUCCUAAACAAAAGAAAAAAUCAUAAAAAACUAAAAAUAAAAUUGGGUUGCCUCCCAACAAGCGCUAUCGUUUAAUGCCCCUAGCUAGGCAUAAUAGCAAUGAUAGAUCUAGGUAUUGCCAUCUUUGGUAGGCAAUCCAUAAGUGGCUCUCAUAAUAGAUUCAUAAGGUAAUUUUAUUUUCUUUCUAGGGAAGUGUUCCAUGCCUUUCCUUAAUGGAAAUUGGAAUCUAAUAUUCCCUUCCUUCGUAUCAAUAAUUGCACCAAUCGUUCUAAGGAACGGUCUACCAAGAAUAAUAGGACAUGAAGGAUUGCAAUCUAUAUCAAGAACAAUAAAAUCUACUGGCACAUAAUUCCUAUUUGCAACAAUAAGAACAUCAUCAAUUCUUCCCAUAGGUUUCUUAAUGGUGGAAUCCGCAAGGUGCAAGUUUAAAGAGCAAUCAUCAAAAUCACGGAAACCUAGCAAAUCGCAUAGAAUCUUUGGAAUCGUGGAAACACUAGCACCCAAAUCACACAAAGCAUAGCAUUCAUGAUCUUUAAUUUUAAUUUUAAUAGUAGGUUCCCACUCAUCAUAAAGUUUUCUAGGGAUAGAAACUUCCAACUCAAGUUUUUCUUCAUAAGAUUGCAUCAAAGCAUCAACGAUAUGUUUAGUAAGGCUUUAUUUUGACUAUAAGCAUGUGGAGAAUUUAGCACGGAUUGCAACAAGGAAAUACAAUCUAUCAAAGAGCAAUUAUCAUAAUUAAAUUCCUUGAAAUCCAAAAUAGUGGGUUCAUUAAUAUCUAGAGUUUUGAUUUCUUCAAUCCCACUUUUACCAUUUUUUGCAUCAAGAUCUAAAAACUCCGAAUUUUUGGAACGCCUUCUAGGUAGAGGUGGAUUAUAUUCAGUCCCAUCAUUAUCAAGAUUCAUAUUGCAAAACAAAGAUUUAAUAGGGGACACAUCAAUAACUUUUAGAUCUUCAUCUUUAUUUUCAUAGAAACUAGAAGAACACGCUUUCACAAAACAAUCUUUCUUAGCACGCAUCCUAGCGGUUCUUUCUUUGCACUCAUCAAUGGAAAUUCUCAUGGCCUUGAGAGACUCAUUGAUAUCAUGCUUAGGAGAAAUUCUAUCAGCGUUCCUAGCCAAUUCAUCAACUUUAAGCAAUUUUUCUUCAAGCAAAGCAUUGAAAUUGUUUUGCGAAUUCAUAAAUUCUUUAACACUAGUCUCAAAUUCAGAAGGCAUCUUAUUAAAAUUUCCAUAAUAAUUGUUGUAGGAAUUACCAUAAUUAUUAGAGGAAUUACUAGGAUACGGCCUUGGAUUAAAGUUUCCUCUAUACGCGUUGUUACCAAAAUUAUUCCGACCAACAAAAUUCACAUCCAUAGAUUCAUUAUUAUUCUCAAUCAAAGUAGACAAAGGCAUAUCAUUAGGAUCAGAAGAAACACUUUUAUUAGCAAAUAAUUUCAUAAGUUCAUCCAUCUUUCCACUCAAAACAUUAAUUUCUUCUAUCAUGCACUUUUUAUUAGUGGUUUUUUCGGUGUGCCAUUGAGAAUAAUUAACCAUAAUAUUAUCUAGGAGUUUAGUAGCUUCUCCUAAAGUGAUUUCCAUAAAAGUGCCUCCCGCGGCCGAAUCUAAAAGAUUUCUAGAAGAAAAAUUCAAUCCGGCAUAAAUUUUUUGUAUAAUCAUCCACAAAUUCAAACCAUGAAUAGGGCAAUUACGUAUCAUUAAUUUCAUCCUCUCGCAAGCUUGUGCAACAUGUUCAUGAUCAAGUUGCUUAAAAUUCAUAAUAUCGUUUCUAAGAGAGAUGAUCUUAGCGGGAGGAAAAUACUUAGAGAUAAAAGCAUCUUUGCACUUAUUUCAAGAAUCACUACUAUUUUUAGGCAAAGACAAAAACCAAGCUUUAGCACGAUCUCUAAGCGAAAAAGGAAAUAGCUUCAAUUUAACAAUAUCAUUGUCCACAUCUUUCUUCUUUUGCAUAUCACACAAAUCAACGAAGUUGCCAUGUCUAGGAAUGCUUGAAGCUUCAAAGAUUUCCUAUAAUACAACAUGCCUCUAACUAUUCACAAUAAGAAAAACAUGUAAAUGCGGAAUCAACCAAAUGUUGGUAAAUUGUAGUUGAUUUUGGCCAAGCAAACGUCAGAUGAAAGAAACAUACAUGAGUGAACAUCACGAUUGGAUGUUUUAUUCAAAUUUAACAGGUUAAACUCACCAAAUCCAUCUGGAUAUUUAGUAUUAAACUUCAACAGAUGGUGAGUUGUAGCUAGAUUCACAACACUGAAGCAAAAUUCCAUCUGCCACGGUUACAUCACACCAUCUUUUCAUCGUUACUAUUUAAAUUCCAAAUGCCUGCAACUCAUUUUUUUGUUACGAUGUAUGCAUGAUUUUUAACUCAAGAGGAAGAGGGGAAACUAAAUCCAAGAAAAGAACACCAAGGAAGCAUCCAAAAUAGAGAAAGGAAAAAUCCAAAAUAGAGGCAGAAUCGAAGGGAAGAAACCCCAUAAAAAAUAGGAGAUCAAACGGUGAAAAAAAUCUAAGAGUCAAACAAUUCCAGGUAAGACCAAAUCGACGACAAAAUAGCACAAGAGGGACUCACAUUAACAGGUAUACCAAUUCAGAAAGAAGUGUAAAGCGAACAGUGCAAUGGACCACUAGUAUAAAUUGGCUGUACACAAACAUGGGACUUAAACAGGAACUGCGAGAUGCAGGGUUCACGUGCAAACCCAAAAAACGGAAAACUGAAACGCACAACAAGAUUUUAUCUUCAUAUAUAUAUAUUAUGAGCUAUUGGCUUUUUAGUCAGGUAAAUAUCAUUCUUAAGACUACGGAAAACAGCAGGCGGCGAAGAAAACAUCUAUUGAUGAGAACUAUACACAUACUUAAGAAGGAAGUGACAUCUAUGGUAGCAGAACAUAUAUCAAGCUGUUGCAGCUACAUUAGCAGUUUAGCACAGUUCCUCCAUAAUACACAGGCUAGUGUAAUUUCACAAAUACAAUAAGCUAACAAUAUAUAUUUGGUAGAUGGAAAUGGCUGGAUCAUGACCAAUAUACCAUUACACAUCCGAUGAUGCAAAUAAACCACAAUAGAACAUGUAUUUGGCGAAACCUCCAUACUGCAAUAUCAAACAUGAAUUGAAAUUAACAAUCUAGCAAAAAAACAUGACAGAUGCAGUCUUGGUCAUUUUUCCUUUUGUGACAUCCCCUAAAAAAAGUAAAAACAAUGUUGUUCGUAUUUUACCAGAGAUACACUGAGCUGGGACAAAUUGGUCUGAAAUAAAAUAUGAUGGCUUCGGAGGAUUCGGAAGGGAAGAAAUUUGCUUUCUUCCAACAUAUAUGGUCUGCUGAACUAAACUUCGUUUCAGCGGGCUUUGCCAAAAAUCUGUAACUGCAAACAUCAACUUGUGUGCCCUUCCUACGUCAAACUUUAAACCUGAGCUCAGUGUACUUUAUGAGUGUUAAGUGUACUUUCUAAAUAGCAGAGAAACCAUAACAUCUAAGCACAACCCAGCAACUUGUACAAGCUAACAUCAAAUCUGAAAGAAGAAAUGUCGAGAACAGGUGAAGGUACCAUGAUCCACGACUGAGCAAAGUUAUCUAUUAUCCUCGGUGAAUAUCAUAAAUUAGGAUCAACUACGCUGAAGAACAAACGGGAAAGGAACCUAGAAAGAUCUUUUGCCGGUAGAAUAUAACUGAUACACUAUCCUCAUUCUCGAGAUCAAGGUCGUUUCUUGAAUUGCAGUUUCCUCACUGUAGUAUGGGGUCAUUACACUGCGAAGAACAAAGUGUCAUAUGAAUCAUUUAGAGCCCAAUCUUUUUCACUGAAACUCUUAUGAUCACAUAACGAAUUUAAACAUAAGGUUUAUUAGAUAUUUGUUGUUGUGAAUAGAUAAUAUAUUUCUGGUGUUGACAAUGUUUUGAUUAUGGAUGCACUUCAAGAUGGGUGGCACAGAUUCUGUUGUACAGGCCUCCACCUGGAAUUUCAUCACUUGUUAUUUUUGUUUUAGAAUGUCUAGGUGCAUUUUUCCUUUAAGGUGGAAACAGAUGUACUUGUAUAAGCAACAAGAAUACAAAGCGCCACUGCCAUACAUUGUGGAAGUUCAGUGCUUCUGUUUACAAAAUCUGCUUCCCAAAACAGAAGGUUUAUAAUUUUUUAUUACAAUCAAGCGGACAUGAGCUGAUGAGUACAGAUGUAGACAUGUACUGAGAGCAGCACCCUUUCAAAAGUGGAUCAUUUACAUGUUGGAUAGUUUGAUGGUCUGAAAUUAAUGGUCGUGUUUCAGAAUUGUUAUCGAAUAGUAGGGGAUAUAUAUUAACUUCUGAAAUUAGUGGCUGUUUGUCAGAACUGUUAUCGAAUAGUAGGGCACAUAUAUUAACUUCAAUAAGUGGACUAAUAUCUUUGGAUUCGCUGUGAGGAAAGAUUACCAAAACAAAACAGAAGUGAGUGCGACGACCCAGAUGAGGGCGCUCUUGAGCCUCUUCCCGACCGACCUAGAUGCAGGAGCAGAACACGGCGGAUCUAAUCAGCCAACCAAUAAAGCCGAGGAAGUAAGGGAGGAAGAAGACUGACUUGUCCUGGUCGCCCUCGUAGUUAGAACAUGGCGAACAGGAUGACGAGGAAGACGAGGACAGCGUCGAGGAUGUAGACGACGAGCCAGAGCAUGUUCAUGGGCAGGAUCAAGCAUGGGCAGGAUAAGGGCGCAGGCCCCGUUGUAGGCGGCGUGCUUGCAGGCCUGGCGGUUGGCGACGUCGGCGGGGAGCAUGAGGAUGGAGAGGACGGCGACGGUGAUGCCGAGCACGAUGACGAGCUUGAGGAAGUAGGCCUGGUUGGCAUCAUCCGGGUGCUGGUAGUUGACGAGCAGGCAGACGCUGACGAGGAGCACCAGGAUGCUGACCACCGCCGCCACGAUCACUAGCGCCACGUUAAAAAACCCAUAUCCUCGGGGCUCCGGUCCCGGUUCCGGCCCGCCGCCUCGCCCCCGUUGGUCGGUCAGAUCUCUCUGUCCCUAGAGGCGGGGGAUACAGGCUAGGGUUUGGGCGUGGGCGGGGAAUAGGCUGCUAUGGUGCCGGCAGCGGGGCGUGGAGGAGAGAAGGAUUAGGAGGAAUAAUUCACCACACUUUGAUUAACCUCUCGGCUGGGUCUUAUGUACAGAUUACAGGGCCAGCCAGGGAGAUCAUGAGGUGAUCCACUACCUGGGAUCGUGCGCCACGAUCACUACAUGCGUGCGCCACGAUCAUAUACACACACGCUACACCUAGUGUCUACGCAACUACGGUAUAGCAGUACGGUACAGUCUAACACCCCCCCCCCCCCGCAGUCGUGACGUCGUCGGCGGCGACGCAAAGACUGGACCGGAACUCAGAGAAAACAUCCGAUGGCAGGCCUUUGGUCAUGAUGUCCGCGAGUUGUUGGCGCGUGGGGAUGUGAAGAACACGGAAGUGGCCGAGGGCGACGCGCGCCCGCACGAAAUGGAUGUCCAGCUCCACAUGCUUAGUGCGGCGAUGAUGCAUCGGAUUGGCUGACAGGUAGACUGCGGACACAUUGUCACAGUACACCAGUGCUGCCUUGGUCACUGGAGCGGAGAGCUCGCCGAGAAGCUGGCGGAGCCAGAUGCAUUCAGCGACCGCGUUGGCGACGCCGCGGUAUUCAGCUUCGGCGCUGGAGCGCGAUACGGUCGCCUGGCGCUUGGAGGACCAGGAGACGAGAGCAUCGCCGAGGAAGACGCAGAAGCUCGACGUGGAGCGUCGGGUGUCGGGGCAGCCGGCCCAGUCCGCGUCGGUGAACGCAAGGACGUCGAGCGUGGUCGAGGCGUGAAGAUGAAGCCCGAGUGCGCAGGUGCCCUUCACGUACCGGAGCACGCGCUUGACGAGCGCGAGGUGGCAUUCGCGCGGGUCAUGCAUGUGCAAGCAGAUUUGCUGGACGGCGUAGGCGAUCUCUGGACGCGUGAUGGUGAGGUACUGCAGGGCCCCGGCGAUGCUCCGAUAGGCCGAGGGGUCGUCGACGCAGGGCCCAUCGGCUGAGAGGAGUUUGCUCUUCGUGUCGAUGAGUGUCGGGGAAGGGCGGCAGGUGUCCAUGCCGGCGCGUUCCAGGAGUUCGUCGGCAUAUUGUUGUUGCGACAGGAAGAAGCCAGCUCGGGUGCGGGUGACGCGGAUGCCGAGGAAGAAGGCGAGCGAGCCCAGGUCCUUCAUGGCGAAUUCGCCUGUGAGGCGCUGGAUGACAUGGUGAAGCACGCGUGACGAGGACGCGGUGAGCACGAUGUCGUGGAUGUAGAUGAGGAGGAACGCCAUGUCGUUGCCGUGCCGGAAGGUGAACAGCGACGAGUCCGAACGCGUAGCUGCGAAGCCAAUGGAGCGGACGAAGCCGGCGAAGCGGAGGAACCAGGCACGGGGCGCCUGCUUGAGCCCGUACAAGGACUUGGAGAGGCGGCAGACGUGCUCUGGUUUGUCGGGGUCGACGAAUCCGGCGGGCUGGAGGCAGUAGACUUCCUCCUCCAAGUUGCCGUGGAGGAAGGCGUUGGAGACGUCGAGGUGGUGCACCGGCCAGCCGCGCGACGCGGCCAUAGUGAGCACAGUGUGGAUCGUCGCUGGCUUGACGACGGGGGAGAACGUCUCGCCGUAGUCGACGCCGGCACGCUGAUGAAAGCCCCGCACGACCCAGCGUGCUUGCUAGCGGGCCAGCGCACCGUCGGCGUCGUUUUUGUGCUUGAAGAUCCACUUCCCUGUGAUCAGGUUGGCGCCGGGGGGGCGGGGCACCAGCUCCCAUGUGCGAUUGCGCACGAGCGCAUCGUACUCAGCACGCAUGGCACCGAGCCAGUUCGGGUCGUGAACAGCAGCGCGAACCGAACGCGGCACCGGCGACACCGAUGAUGAGGUAGAGGCGGUGGCCGCGUCGUAGUAGCGCGGGUUGGGGCGGAAGAUGCCGCGCUGGGCACGCAUGACCAUGGGCACAGGAGGCGCCGGUGCGCGGGGCGCCGUUGGUCGCGCGCUCGGAGACGAGCUGUCGGAGGAGCCACUGGCGGAGUUGUCGGAGGAGCCGCUGGCGGAGGCGAAGACAGGCGGACCUGGCGCGGAUGGGCACGUCGAGGACGGAGCAGAGCCGCCAUCGGAAGCGCCCGCAGCGCACCGCGAGCUAACGCGGCGCGCCCCGCUGGUUGGCGAUGAUGAGCGGGGCAGGCUGGUGAUGGAGAUCGGGCGCGCCGGCAGGACGGGUGACAUGCUGCUGUCAGGCACCGGUGGAAGCGCAGGCAGCGCAGGAGGCCGGACGGCGAGCGGGAUCUGCAGGGUAGAGGGUACGACGGGUGGCGUAGGCGACGGGGAAGAGGAUGCGAACGGGAAAACGUGGUCGUGGAAGAGAACGUGGCGAGACGUGAGGACACAGCGAGAGGUGAGGUCAAAGCAGCGAAAACCACGAUGAUCGGGAGGGUACCCGAGGAAGACGCAGGCGAUAGAACGUGGCUCGAGCUUAUGGCGGGUGGUGGCGGUGACGUUCGGAUAGAUGCGGAGUAAUUUGUGCGACGCCGAGCAGGAGUUCAUGCGGAGUGCAGGGCGCCGAGGCGCGGCAGGGCCGAUGAUUGAGCAGGUAGGUCGAGGUGUUGAGAGCCUCUGCCCAGAAGCGAGCGGGCAUGUGCGCAUGACAGAGAAGCACACGAACGCCGUCGUUGAUCGUGCGGAGAACUCGCUCGUCCUUGCCGUUCUGCUGACUGGUGUAUGGGCAGGUGAGACGGAAGUGUGUGCCGUGGCGAGCAAGCAGAGAGCGCACAGCUGCGCUGUCGAAUUCACGACCAUUGCCCGUUUGCAGUGCAAGUAUGGGUAACUGAAACUGAGUCUGAACAUAGGCAAAGAAAUCAACAAGUAUGGGAAGAACUUCAGACAUGUGUUUCAGAGGGAAAGUCCAGACAUAGUGACUGAAAUCAUCUAGUACAACUAAGUAAAACUGAUAGCCGGAUAUGCUUACAACGGGAGCGGUCCAUACAUCAAGGUGUAAAAGCUGGAAAGGAAAGAAACUAGCAGUGGUGGAUGUCUGAAACGGGAGCCAGGUGUGUUUGCCAACACGACAGGCAUGACAGACAGGCGGAUCACGGCAGAACUCCAGGGACUGAUCGGCAGCAACGGUGCGGAGUGCGGCAGCCCCUGGGUGGCCGAGACGUUGAUGCCACAGGUCGGUCGUGGCGGCGCCGGCGAAGAUGCCCGGGGAAUGGACGGAUGGCCGCACCACGGGAUAGAGAUCGCCGUCGGAGUCACAUCGGAGAAUCACUACCCUGGUUCGUAGGUCCUUGACAGAGAAACCACGAGCGUCAAAUUCAACAGAAACGGGGUAGGAACGACAAAGCUGCCGAACUGAAAGUAGGUUUUUGACGAGAGAUGGAGAGACGAGAACGUUGCGGAGAGGAAUGGGGGAAGUGCUGGUGAUCAGCGCGCCCGUGCCAACGUGGGUGAUGGGCAGGCGGUCACCACUGCCCACGAUGAUAGAUGCAGUAGUAGAGGACGGGCGAGUGGAGAGGAGAUUACCAGGGGAGGACGUCAUGUGCGCCGCGGCGCCGGAGUCGAGGUACCACUCCGGUGCGCUGCCAGAGGAGGAAGGGCUGGCCGAGGCGCUGUGGAGGGCGGCCUGGAGCGAGGCCAUGUCCCAUGGCUGGUGGGUUGCAGUCGACGAGCUGGCGCCGGGGUGCCCGUAGCCUGACAGGACGUCGGAGACGGGUGGAGUGACGCCGUAGCCGGGGAGGGUAGCGCCGUAGCCGUAUGGUGCAGCCGGCGACGGGGCGGCGAACAUGGCCUGCUGGUACGGCGUACCAGGGCGGGGGCCGAGCACUUCAGCUCCAGCCGCGCGCCAAGGCAUCGGCCAAGCCUGGACCAUGCCGGUCCAUGCGUUUGUACCGGGUGCAGGCGUGGGGUACGCUGGGGGAGGGCGGGGAGCCUGGGAGGACGGCGUGGGCGGGCCACCAAUGCCGUUGCCACGUCUGGGGCGGCGUCCGCGCCCACGCCCUUGGUUGGUGUUGCUGGGCGGGGGUGUGGGUGGUGUAGGAGAGCCGCCACGCCCGGCGACGAGAGCGUGCGCAGACUGCUGGCGAGUGGUCGACUGCUCUGCUCGGUGUUCCUCAAGCAGGACGAAGGAGCGCACCUGCAGGAACGACGGGAGCGGGACCUGCGAGGUGAUGUGAGGGAUGGCGGAGUGGAACUGCCGGUUCAGACCGCGGAGCAGGUUGAAGACCUGCCGCGAGUCGGUUACCGGCUGCCCGAGGUGGCGGAGUUGAUCCGUGAACGACUUCAUCUUGGUGCAGUACACCAUGAUCGACAUGUCGCCCUGAACGAUAGCGUGGUACUCGGCGUCGAGGUAGACAGCGCGAGCGAGGUGGUUGUCGCGGAAGAUUCCAUCGACCGCAGUCCAGACGGCCAGAGCAGUGUCGUCCGGCUGCAUGACGGCGUCGAGCAGGUCCGGCGAUAUGGUGGUGUAGAACCAGUGGACGACGACGUGAUCAGCCAUGCCCCACUCGGGAUCAUCGUGGCGGUGGAUGGCCGUGGCGCCGAACAUGCCGAUGACGGUGUCGAAGUGGCGGCGCCACUGCGUGUAGUUGCCGGCGAGAAGGUCGAGGGUGACCGGGACAUGACGACGGAUGUCCACGGUCUGCAGGAUCGCGGAGGCGACAGGUGCUGUAGCAGGAGGAGGAGGGAUGACGGGCACCGCGGGCGCGACAGGUGCUGGAGCCGGCGGUGCCUUGGCCAGGGGGACAGCGUUAAGGACGCCGUCGGCGCCGUGCUGCGAGGAGCGAGGGGACACGAUGGGGUUGUCAUCCAUGGCGGCGGAAGCGGGACUGGCGACCUGCGCGAAGGGAUUGAGCAGGUCGGGGGAAUCUGGUACCAUAGAGGAGAGAAGGAUUAGGAGGAAUAAUUCACCACACUUUGAUUAAGCUCUCGGUUGGGUCUUAUGUAUAGAUUACAGGGCCAGGGAGAUCACGGGGUGAUCCACUACCUGGGAUCGUGCGCCAGGAUCACUAUAUGCGUGCGCCACGAUUAUAUACACACAUGCUACAACUAGUGUCUACGCAACUACGGUAUAGCAGUACAAUACAGUCUAACAGGGCAGCCACCGGCGGGGAGGGCGGGAUCCACGCGGGGUGGCGGGAUUUGGGCAGGCGGUGGGCUCGGGGGAGGGCGGUGGCAGCGAAGCAGCAAGGAGGGGCUGGAGGAGAUGAAACGAAAGAGGUCGCGUGACACAGCGACAGCGUUGUCCAAUCCCCGCGCUGCCGAUUUAAAAAAAAGGUAAUGAUAACUCCCGAACGUUCGGGAGUUAAGCAUGGAAACCCGAACGGGUUUAGAUGGCAAGUUUAGUUUGCGUGAGAUUAGGAAAACAUGGCAAUUUUCUGACAAAAGAAAUGAAAAAGGAUGAAGUUGCCAUCCCUAUCAACUAAAGUUGCCAUCCCCUAUGAACUAAAGUUGCCAUGUAAAAACGUUCGGGACGAAAUGCUCAAAAUCCGAACGUUCGGAAGUUACUGGAUUCAAAAAAAUCCCCUUGCUGCCAAUCGCUGGUCCGUUUCUUUUUUCGCCCAAUCGCUAGGUGAUGACGUGGCUAUCGCGGGAAGGCGCCCUUGAUGCGUAGUCGAAUGGUUUUAAUUAAUAGGAAGCGAGUGCUUACUCUAGUUACUGAAUUAUGUACACCAAAUAAAGCCAUUUACACGUAGUUAAUGACAAAAAAAGUUGAUGUUUGCUACGCAAAUGUGUAGUACAAAUUAAGAAGUGCAAGAUAAAAAAAAAUGCUGGUCCUUGAUUCGUUGUUGAUCGUCAGCAUGCCAUCAUCAAUUUGUAGUUAAUUAUCAUACAAAUUGGCUCUUUCAUAGAGUUGGAGACUAGCUCCUUUGAUCAGCACGCGCUUAAACACAAACAGCACGUAUAUGUUUUGUCUCCGGAGUUCAAUUCUUCAUCGGCCAGUAAAAAUGGCCCGACCAGGUAGAGGAAAAGGCAUGUUUGUUAGUACGCCUGGAGGAAAUGCCUUUGAUUAGGGCAUCUUCAACAGCGACCAGUAAAUUUCCUCCCGCGUUCGUCCACGGAUAGGGGAUCAGUCCGCGGAUACGAAUACAGGAAUCAUCCAUCCAACGCUGUCCGCGUAUAUUUCAAACACAUUUUUUUUAAAAAUAGGAUGAAAUUCAUGCAAACACAAUGGAUUUCAUACAAACCGGACAAAAAUGUUUACAUUUUGGACAUUUUUUUUUACUAAAAACUCUACAGCCGGCGCCGGCGAAUAUCCACUCCGGCGACAUGGAUACCCUUGACUAGUCUACUGCCGGCCGCAGCGGAUCUCCGAUGUCGUCCCCAUGUCCGGCAGCUAUGAGCCCUAGAGGUAUAUGCUUCAGCGCAAAGAGCGGCUCGCCUCCCUACCGCUCAUCGGAGUGGAACAACCAGCUGAUGCUUCUGCCGAUGGAAAGGGUCCCUACGCUACACGGAUUAGAGUUGGUUUUGGGCUGGGAACGGCGGUGGCCUGCCAGAGGGCAAGACACCGACUGUGUAUGCUGGUGUCACCUGGUGUGGCAUUCGUGGGACCCAAGCGGCAGCGCCUCCUCGAUGAUGGCGGCGAGCGCGGACGUGUUGGACACCACCUCGUCGAUGUCCGUGCAGCCCGCUUCUUUCUCUAUAGGAAGGACGCGGUUACGCUCGCGUUGACAUCGGAUGACUCGGUCACAUGCACGGGAGGGGCGGUACGACAUGGCAUCGCCAAUGGCAGCCAUGAUGCCCGCGCCACCGUGCUCCCUCCCAGUGCCGACCUGGAGCAACUUGCCACUCCUCGGCUCGUGACCGGUGGGCUUGACGGGCCACCUAGCCAUUUUUUAUGCCAGACAACUCUUCUUCCUGCUCGUCAGAUGUCAUGGAUAAAACUGUUUAAGGAGGAAAAUGAUGAGUGGACGUGUGAUGCGGUUCUUGCCCAACAUCUGACAUUGUUUAAAUAGUGAGGGGACACGAGAGGAGCCAACCGGCGUUCUGUUUAAUGCCAACCGGCUCGCGAACGAACAUGUGGCCGGAGUAAUUAUCCUGGCACACACGAGGGUUUUAUGGUGGAAGGCGGGCAGUCUGCAGGAAUGAGGCGAGGAUGUGUGCUUAGCCGGCGUGCAGCAGGCGGUGCCCUCGGCCGGCGUGCUGCUUCCAUUGCGGAGGCAGUGAAAGGUCGCGUCCGCUCUGCAGCGCAUGAAUGCGGGCAGCUGGCGCAGAGCGGGAACGCGUGUGGGCGAGGGAGGAGGGGGUUUGGGCGGGUGGUCAGAAGAGGUCGUGGGUGUUGUCCGAACGCCUGCAAAGCCCCCCUCCAUGUUUGUCUCCAGUUUGCGGGAGAAAGUACGUCCGGACCGUCUCCAAUGGACCAAUACAGGCCCGCAUUGGAUGGCACAACACGUCCGGACGAUGUGGUCCGGAUGGUUGUGGACAGUUUAAUUGAGGGUCGGCGUUGGAGAUGCCUUAGAGUUUAUGAAUCCAUUGUGUUUUUCUAAUCAUAAAAAAGCACUUACAAUAAGUUAUAAGGAAAGACACGAUUAUAUGUUAGGUUCAGACUCCAGCUUUCGUUUUACAUAUGCUUUAUUCAUCCGACUGAUUCCAAUAGAGUGAGCCUAGCGUUGUUUUUCUGGAAACUCGCGGGAUAAGGAGACAUGCAUACACAUUCUUUCAAGCAAAUCACAUCCAUUUUUUUUAACUCAUUUUUCUUCUUUUAAUAAUAUAAUAGAUCAUUUAUAUUUUUUAUCUGAAACAGUUGACGUGUAAUUUAUAUUGUAAUCUGAGGAUAAUGUUUGGAUUUUACUUUCAAAUAUAUUUGAAAUGGCCAUGAUGGAAUCACAUCCAUUUAUUUUAUUAUUAUUUGAAUUUGAUCCAAAAGAUAAAUAAUGAGUAGAGGUCAUGUCAACUUUUCUGAGAACUUUGCUAAUCAAAAUAUAAAUUGUAUUUAAAAACAUCUAUUUUUUAGCACGCAUGAAAAACAUAACACGUAUCUUUUCACACAUAAUGAACGGUUGUCAUAAGAACUCAUGCCAUGCCACAACCUCCCUCCGACCCUGCCAACAUUGUUGCAGCUGCACUCGCAAGCCUUAGCGUAGAUGAUAAUUUAUACAAUUUGCGUAAAAACAAAAUAAGAUCUACAAAUGAAUAGAAGCUAGAACGUACAUUGGCAUGCACACACAUUGCAAGCCAUACUAAGCUGAUAAGUGUUAAUAACUUGUAUAACAUAUACAACACUUAACACAAGUAAAAGCAAUUUGAUGAGUCAUGGUCUAUCAAAGCCACAUUACUAGUCUAAUCCAUCUUAACAGGUCACACAUGAUUAAAAUCUUGUUUGUGUGCAAGUCAAGCUUAUCUAGUUUACAUGUAACAACUUGUAGAACAUUACAAAAUUUAUGUUUGCUAAUAACUUCUAGAACACUACAACACUUGACAUGUAAAAGGAAUUUGAUGAGUCAUGGCCUACUAAAGCAAGUUAUAUUACUAGUCUUAUCUACCUUAACAGGCCACACAAGAUUACAAACCAAGUUCUGUGCCAGCCAUGCUUAUCUAGUUUAUGCGUAACAAUUUGCAGAAAAUUACAAACUUAGUUUCAGAAAAAUAGGCAAUCUAGAUUAGUGUUUGAGCUGUAAAGUGAAUAAAAUGAGUCAUGCGUGUUAUCACACCUUUUUGGUUGUGGAAUGAUAGUGCAACAACAAGGAACUUUAAUGACCAGUUCAAGAAUACACUUGUAAGUAGUGCCACCGAACACAACAUACCAAAUUAUGAUUUUGAGAAGCAUCCAAGCACUUCCACACAAGCAAAUGCCAAUUGUGAAAGAGAUCAUGCCAUGGCAGCUAUAAAUAGGCCCGUAGCAUGACGAUCAUCCUUCCUCAUCCAUCAUUCUCAUAAGUAGAGCGCAUCAUUUAAGCCAAGCAAGCAGUGCUCAAUACAAAUCCACCAUGAAGACCUUUCUCAUCCUUGCACUCCUUGCUAUUGUAGCAACCACCGCCACAAUUGCAGUUAGAGUUCCAGUGCCACAAUUGCAGCCACAAAAUCCAUCUCAGCAACAACCACAAGAGCAAGUUCCAUUGGUACAACAACAACAAUUUCCAGGGCAGCAACAACCAUUUCCACCACAACAGCCAUAUCCGCAGCCGCAACCAUUUCCAUCACAACAACCAUAUCUGCAGCUGCAGCCAUUUCCGCAGCCGCAACUACCAUAUCCGCAGCCGCAUCUACCAUAUCCGCAGCCGCAACCAUUUCGACCACAACAACCAUAUCCACAACCGCAACCACAGUAUUCGCAACCACAACAACCAAUUUCGCAGCAGCAGCAACAACAACAACAACAACAACAACAACAGAUCCUUCAACAAAUUUUGCAACAACAACUGAUUCCAUGCAGGGAUGUUGUAUUGCAACAACACAGCAUAGCGCAUGGAAGCUCACAAGUUUUGCAACAAAGUACUUACCAGCUGGUGCAACAAUUGUGUUGUCAGCAGCUGUGGCAGAUCCCCGAGCAGUCGCGGUGCCAAGCCAUCCACAAUGUUGUUCAUGCUAUUAUUCUGCAUCAACAACAACAACAACAACAACAACAACAACAACAACAACCGUUGAGCCAGGUCUCCUUCCAACAGCCUCAACAACAAUAUCCAUCAGGCCAGGGCUCCUUCCAGCCAUCUCAGCAAAACCCACAGGCCCAGGGCUCUGUCCAGCCUCAACAACUGCCCCAGUUUGAGGAAAUAAGGAACCUAGCGCUAGAGACGCUACCUGCAAUGUGCAAUGUCUAUAUCCCUCCAUAUUGCACCAUUGCUCCAGUUGGCUUCUUCGGUACUAACUGAGAAGAGAAGAACUCUAGUAGUAGACAUAUGAUACACCGUUUUCUUAGUCCAUGGUUUGGUCGUUGUAGCGGUGAAAAAAUAAAGUGACAUGCAGUAUCAUGUAAGAACCCGAACUAUACUAGUUCAAACAUGGGAAUAAAAGACAAACACAUGUCUUGUCUACAUAUGAUUGUUUGUUUGAGUUCCACUCAUGUGCCCACUCACAAGUUCACCCCUAAUUAUAUAUAUUAUGCAUUAAGUAGAUAUUUAUGUUGCAUUAAUCUAAAGAUAACAAAAUGAGUCUGAAAUUUGACUUAAAUUGAAGUAUUUCCUUGGACGUUCAAAUGGAGUAUUAUUAAAGUAGUAAGGACUAUCCACAUCCUUGGCUUGCCCUUGAUCAAUUAUUUCCAGAGAAGCAUUCAAUUCAUCAAUCAAUUACAUUGAUUUUUGUGGCUGGUACUUCUCCUCAACAUGAGUAUAUUCAUCGCGGCUACUCCAAAUAGGCAUGAAUGAGGUACCGGUGCUCUGGAGCACUGGUACCUAACUGCUUCUCAUGUGAAGGGGUGCGGGCGCGGGAGAGGUGUUUUUGGUGGGCCAGGGGAGUAAGAAUCGGCCGUGGCAGCGGUCCAGACGCCCACAAAGCCCCGUAGUUUGUUUUUGGUUUACAGGAAAAUGCACAUCCAGACCGGCCUGCGGGCCGAUAUAGGACCGUAUUGGAUGGCAAAACAUGUCCGGAUGGUCGCGAGCGGUUUAAGGGUUAGCUUUUGUAACGCCUGGUUAGUUAUGCUAUGGUAAUUCCCUGCUAAUGAUGUCACGUCAGCACGAUUACUGUUGUUAACCUCACAAUGAUUCAAUCCCAUUCAAAUUCAAAUUUAAAAUAAAGGCAAAAAUCAAAAGUCUCAAACAUUAAAACUAAAAUCUUCGAGAGGUGAAAAAUAAUGCAUAAGUAAUUAUGGUGGAGCAACCACACUUUUAUAAAAUGUUUAAAUACUCUAAAAAUAAUAAAACAGUGGCUUAAACUAUUAUUUAAAUGCUUUUAAAAUAGUAAAAAUGUUCUAACUAAAUUAAUUGGGUACCAAACUUUUGGUGGCAGUGGUAUAUUUAGUAGAACUAAUUUAGAUGCUAAUAAAACAUAAAAGGAAAGACAAAACAAAUAAAAGUAAAAGGGGGCAACCCCUCGCUGGGCCUCGGCCAAGCUGGCCACUGGGCUAGCUAGGUUGGCCCAACCGCCUCCCUUAACCCCCCACUCCCCAUCGAACCCUAGACCGAUCGCCCCACUUCCCCCACACCCCCUCGUCAGCCUCCCCACCUCUCGAUCCCAUCUGGAUCGGGGAGGGGAUCGCCCCCAUCGACCCCGUCGCGGUCGCUGGAUCGCCCGCUCGCCCAUCGCCCGCCGCCGUCGCGAGACCUCCUCCCCGUCGCACGUCUCCGACUCUCCUCCCCUCUCGCUCCUCUUCCCCGACCCGAUCUGGAUCGGGAAGGGCCAAUGAGCCAAACGCCCCCCUCCAUCGACGAUGUGCUCCAGCACCGCCGCCCGAAGACCUCGCCCUCGCCGGACCUCGCGUCGCCUCCUCGUAUCCCUCCCCGACUCGCCUCCUCAAGCCACGCCGACCCCCUUCUCGGCAACGCUGUGAGCUGCCCCCGUUUCCAUCCUUCUCUUUCCACCGUGUUCACCGCGCUGCCUGCCGUGCCCCUCGCUGCGCGCACGCCCACCACCGUGCCAGCCCCUGCUCCGAGCCCUCUCCUGCACGCUUGUGCGCGCAUGACCCUAGCCGCGCCCACGCCGUGAUCCCCUUGUCCCGCCCGCCUUCGUCCCGCGCUCGCCGCGGCCCCCAUGCUCCCAUGCGCCCUCUUUUGGGGGCGUCGGCUGCCCCUGUCCCGCAGCUCGCUGGCAUGCGUCCCCGCCCGCGCCUCGCCACCGCUCUACUGCUACGCUACUAUUGCGCUGUGGCCGCCGCCGCUUCCCGCUGCUCUGCCAGCGCCAAAGCUCCCGGUUGGCCCUGCCGCUGCUCGCGUUUAACCGCCGGCCUAAGCGGCCUAACCUCCCCCCUCGCUAAUGAACCCCCACCGACCCGCUGACACCGGGACCCACAUCCCCUAAUUAACCAUUUAAUAAAUUAAAACUCUUAAAUUAACAUUAGUGUAUGACAUGUGGGUCCCCUAUUAAUUAAACUGAUUUAAUUAAAAUCUAUUAACUUUGAGUCUAUGACAUAUGGGCCCCACUAAACAUUUGACCAGUCAACGGUCCAGUCAAAUGCUGACCGGACAGUUGACCAGAGGGCCCCGCCAGUCAGCCAAUGUGCUGUUCUGCUGGGUACCUUUCUAAGUACACCUAGCAUUUUACAUUUACAAUAUUUGUUUUAAAAUAAAUUAGAAUAAUUUCAAAAAAAUAUUAAAACUUUUAAAAUUAAAAUAAAAUAAUCCAUAACUCGGAUGAAAUUACUUUAUACAUGGAAGUUGCUCAAAAAACGAGACGAAUUCGAAUACACAGUCCGUUCGUCUGCCACGCGUCCCUAGCAUAGCGAACAUGCAACCAUCCCCCUCCGGUUCGACUCUCCGAAAAAUUAUUAUUGCACAUGCCCGCUAAGAGGUUGGCUGUAUAUGACAUGACAACUUCUUAUAGCCGACCCUUGGCUGUAAUAUUAACCAUGCUCUUAGUGAGGUAGCUAGUAUAUCAUAGACGACUAGCUAGUAUCAGACUAGCCAAAGUGGGAGUAACUUCAGCAGUAACAUCGACUCCAACUCAGCAAACUUGCUUAUGUGGGAGUAAACCCUGCCUAAUGCAAAAUACAAUCCCAGUCGUAAUUUUUUCAGGAAACGUGUGGGAUCCCAAACGAAAAGCACACGUCACUCUUGCGGCAACCGUCGGUGACACCCAAUAAAUCACAAACGGUAUGCAGCACUUGUAUGUGUGCAAAGGGGCUCCUGAACCGUUUGUGAUAGAACAUUAUCGCAGACGGUAAUUGUUGGCAAACGUGUGCGAUGGAGUCUAGCAUGGCAGACGGGUUACGCAGAAAACUCGUGUGCGAUGGGGCACAAAUCGCACACUGUUCAUAUGUUGGCCCAUGUGCCUUACAUACUAUUUCCCAAAUGGUUUGUUACGACAGACCGUAUCGUUUCAGUGCGUCAUUAGAAACGCUUAAUCACUGAUACCACACGUGCGAAAGAAUUUAGUGCGUGCUGCAUCGCACACGAUUACAUUUUGGAAGGCCUCUGGAUCACUGCUCCAUAUCCCCGACGGUUUCUGGGCCGUGUGGGAAGGACACCCUAUCACACACACUCACUUGGCGACGGCUCCAAAUGCUGUCGUGGAAAGGGGUUAAAAACAGUUUGUUUAGGACCGACGCGUACCAGUGUCUAUCUAUCUAUCUAUCUAUCUAUCCAUCUAUCUAUCUAUCUAUCUAUCUAUCUAUCUAUCAAUCUAUCUAUCCAUCUAUCCAUCUAUCCAUCUAUCCAUCUAUCCAUCUAUCUAUCUCAAUCCACCUAUCUAUCUAUCCAUCUAUCCAUCUAUCUAUCUCUCCAUCUAUCCAUCUAUCUAUCCAUCUAUCCAUCCAUCUACUAUCCAUCUAUCUAUCCAUCCAUCCAUCUAUCUAUCCAUCCAUCUAUCUAUCUAUCUAUCUAUCUAUCUAUCUAUCUAUCUAUCUAUCUAUCUAUCUGUCUGUCUAUCUAUCUAUCUAUCUGUCUGUCUGUCUAUCUAUCUAUCUAUCCAUCUAUUCAUCUAUCUAUCUAUGUAUCCAUUUAUCCAUUGAUCCAUCUAUCGAUCCAUCGAUCCAUCCAUCUAUCCAUCCAUCUAUCCAUCCAUCUAUCUAUCCAUAUAUCCAUGUAUCCAUGUAUCCAUCUAUCCAUCUAUCGAUCUAUCCAUCUAUCCAUCUAUCCAUCUAUCCAUCUAUCUAUCUAUCCAACCAUCUAUCGAUCUAUCGAUCUAUCGGUCUAUCCAUCUAUCGAUCUAUCCAUCUCUCCAUCUACCAAUCUAUCCAUCUAUUCAUUUACCGAUCUAUCUAUCCAUCUAUCUAUCUAGCUAUCUACCUAUCUAUCUAUCUAUCUAUCUAGCUAUCUAGCUAUCUAUCUAUCUAGUUAUUUAGCUAUCUAUCUGUCUACCUACCUACCUACCUAUCUAUCUAUCUAUCUAUCUAUCUAUCUAUCUAUCUAUCUAAAGGAAAUAUGCCCUAGAUGCAAUAAUAAAGUUGUCAUUUAUAUUUCCUUAUAUCAUGAUAAACUAGCGGAGUCACCCGCGCAUUUGCGCGGCUAGAUUGACUACAUAUAUUGUUAUAUUUGGGAUUAUUUUUCUAUGCCAAUUUUAUGGCCUCUUACUCAGAUAUUAUCUAAUUGAAUUUACCACCACCAUAUGUUAUAUCCAUAGAUUAUAAUUAAAAGGCAACUUCCGACGAAACAUGGACAGAUUAUUGAGUGCUUAGAAGACGGACGCAAUAUCAUAUAUAGACUUCUAUACCAAUCUUCAUGGUUCCCAUCUUUGAUCCUCUCCUCGUCCCUUGGUAUCUAUCUUUGCACCCAAUAUGUCUUUGGAGUUCCAAGAAUUGAAUCUUAGCAUGAAUGGCUUCAAUGUGUACCAAAUGUUCUCUUGUUCCUCCCAAAUUAAUUACUGGUUGCAUUCUUAGUUGCUUUGACAUUCUUGGUUAAUGCAAUGUCUUGCCUACCAAUAUAUGCAUCCACACACGAUAAUAUUUAUAUGACCACUUACCUUUGUAUUCUGGUAUUUGUGCUUCAGAAUUUUUCUCUCAUUCAGUUUAUUCAUAGAUUAAAAACGUCGAUCGUUUCUUUAUUGGUUUGCAUUAUCUUGUUUGCCGAACGUAAGCAUCCACACAUGCUCGUCAUGAUAUGAUUGGUCAUCAUUGUAUAUUUGUAUUUGUGUGUUGAUAGCUUAAGGAUUUUCUCGGAUUCACUUCAUAGUUUAAGGAUUUUCUCGCGUUCAAUUUAUUCUACCUUAUUCAUUUUCAUGUUUCUUUAUUGCAUUUAUAUCAAUUCUUACAAUAUAUUUUCCAAGAUAUGAACUCAACUGCUAAUUACGUAGUUUUUCAUCAAAAAUUACAUGUAAAAAUGUUACAAAUGCAUAAACAUGAUAAAAAUAUAUAUCAUAUUCCAUUGAGAGAUCGCCCAUUUAAAAAAAACACGUUGACUUACAAAAAGGACAAUUCAAGCUGCAUGUACGUCCGACUCAUGUUUACCUGACAAUGUCGAUGUUGAUUUCAGCAGUAAAUGAGCUGUGUGUGACCUUUGCGCUUUCCGGUAUUCUUCUAACCUGUGUGCUUUAUGAUCAGUUUGUUGUGCUUAGUACUGGACACUGGAGUAUACUAUCAUAUUUGGUACAAAUAAAUCUGAACUACUAUAGUUAUGAUCCACUCUAUAGUUAAUGGUGGUGGUAAUUAAUAUAUGUGGUUAAAUACUUGCGCUCCUUAGGUGGGGAGUUGAAUUUGUAUUUCCCUAAAAUAAAUUUCAGAUUUCGUAAUAGUGGUGAAGCCAGCCGGAAGAACCUCUGCGUCAUUAUUAAUUUUGGUGAUAUUUUUCUUCAUAGUGUAGAAUAAUUUUAGUGCUUAUUCCGCAAAAAAUAUGGCCUCAACUGACCCCAUAGCUUGUAUGUUGCGCCACCACUGUUUCCUAUAUCUUUUUACAUCCGUUGUUUUUAGAUCUUGAUGCAUAACUUUGACAAUAUUUAAUAGAUAUGUGUCUGUAUAAAAAAUUAUAAAUGCUAUGAUAAUUUGAUUAAUUAUGAUGAAUAAAAUGUUAUUGCUCUGACUUGAUCCCUCUAGAAUUUUCCAAAAUUUCACAUUACAGUUGUAGUAGUGCAUGCUACCUCUUGAGCACUGCAUUAGUUUUCCCUUGAAGAGGAAAGGGUGAUGCAGUAAAGCAGCGUCAGUAUUUCCCUCGGUUUUUGAGAACCAAGGUAUCAAUCCAGUAGGAGGCCACGCAUGAGUCCCUCGCACCUACACAAACAAAUAAAAUCCUCGCAACCAACGCAAUAAAGGGGUUGUCAAUCCCUUCACGGUCACUUACGAAAGUGAGAUCUGAUAGAUUUGAUAAGAUAAUAUUUUUGGUAUUUUUAUGAUAAAGAUGCAACGUAAAGAAAGCAAAAUAAAAAAAGCGCCAGAAAUAGCUUGUUGACGGGAGAUUAAAAUAGACCGGGGGGCCAUAGGUUUCACUAGUGGCUUCUCUCGAGAGCAUAAGUAUUUCGGUGGGUAGACAAAUUACUGUUGAGCAAGUGACAGAAUUGAGCAUAGUUAUGAGAAUAUCAAGGUAUGAUCAUGUAUAUAGGCAUCACGUCCGAGGCAAGUAGCCCGACUCCUGCCUGCAUCUACUACUAUUACUCCACACAUCGACCGCUAUCCAGCAUGCAUCUAGAGUAUUAAGUUCAAAAAACAGAGUAACGCUUUAAGUAAGAUGACAUGAUGUAGAGGGAUAAACUCAUGCAAUAUGAUAUAAACCCCAUCUUGUUAUCCUCGAUGGCAACAAUACAAUACGUGCCUUGCUGCCCCUACUGUCACUGGGAAAGGACACCGCAAGAUUGAACCCAAGCUAAGCACUUCUCCCAUCGCAAGAAAGAUCAAUCUAGUAGGCCAAACCAAACUGAUAAUUCGAAGAGACUUGCAAAGAUAACCAAUCAUACAUAAAAGAAUUCAGACAAGAUUCAAAUAUUGUUCAUAGAUAAACUUGAUCAUAAACCCACAAUUCAUCGGUCUCAACAAACACACCGCAAAAGAAGAUUACAUCGAAUAGAUCUCCACAAGAGAGGGGGAGAACAUUGUAUUGAGAUCCAAAAAGAGAGAAGAAGCCAUCUAGCUAAUAACUAUGGACCCGAAGGUCUGAGGUAAACUACUCACACAUCAUCGUAGAGGCUAUGGUGUUGAUGUAGAAGCCCUCCGUGAUCGAUGCCCCCUCCGGCGGAGCUCCGGAAAAGGCCCCAAGAUGGGAUCUCACGGGUACAGAAGGUUGCGGUGAUGGAAUUAGGUUUUUGGCUCCGUAUCUGGUAGUUUGGGGGUACGUAGGUAUGUAUAGGAGGAAGAAGUACGUCGGUGGAGCAACGUGGGCCCCACGAGGGCGCGCCCCCCUACCUCGUGCCUUCCUGGUAGAUUUCUUGACGUAGGGAACAAGUCCUCUAGAUAACGUUCGUUCCCAAAAUCACGUUUCCGAAGGUUUCAUUCCGUUUGGACUCCGUUUGAUAUUCUUUUUCUGUGAAACUCUGAACUAGGCAAAAAACAACAAUUCUGGGGUGGGCCUCCGGUUAAUAGGUUAGUCCCAAAAAUAAUAUAAAAGUGUAUAAUAAAGCCCAUUAAUGUCUAAAACAGAAUAUAAUAUAGCAUGGAACAAUAAAAAAUUAUAUAUACGUUGGAGACGUAUCAAGCAUCCCCAAGCUUAAUUCUUGCUCGUCCUCGAGUAGGUAAAUGAUAAAAACAGAAUUUUUAAUGUGGAAUGCUACUUGGCAUAAUUUCAAUGUAAUUCUCUUAAUUGUGGUAUGAAUAUUCAGACCCGAAAGAUUCAAGACAAAAGUUUAAUAUUGACAUAAAAAUAAUAAUACUUCAAGCAUACUAACUAAGCAAUUAUGUCUUCUCAAAAUAAAAUGGCCAAAGAAAGUUAUCCCUACAAAAUCAUAUAGUCUAGCUAUGCUCUAUCUUCACCACACAAAGUAUUUAAAUUAUGCACAACCCGGAUGACAAGCCAAGCAAUUGUUUCAUACUUUUGAUGUUCUCAAACUUUUUCAAUCUUCACGCAAUACAUGAGCAUGAGCCAUGGACAUAGCACUAUAUGUGGAAUAGAAUGGUGGUUGUGGAGAAGACAAAAAAGGAGAAGAUAGUCUCACAUCAACUAGGCGUAUCAACGGGCUAUGGAGAUGCCCAUUAAUAGAUAUCAAUGUGAGUGAGUAGGAAUUGCCAUGCAACGGAUGCACUAGAGCUAUAAGUAUAUGAAAGCUCAACAAAAGGAACUAAGUGGGUGUCCAUCCAACUCGCUUGCUCAUGAAGACCUAGGGCAUUUUGAGGAAGCCCAUCAUUGGAAUAUACAAGCCAAGUUCUAUAAUGAAAAUUUCCCACUAGUACAUGAAAGUGAUAUCAUAGGAGACUCUCUAUCAUGAAGAUCAUGGUGCUACUUUGAAGAACAAGUGUGGUAAAAGGAUAGUAACAUUGUCCCUUCUCUCUUUUUCUCUCUUUUUUUAUUUGGGUCUUUUAUUCUUUUUUUAUGGCCUCUUUUUUUUAGUCCGAAGUCUCAUCCCGACUUGUGGGGGAAUCAUAGUCUCCAUCAUCCUUUCCUCACUUGGGACAAUGCUCUAAAAAAAUGAUGAUCAUCACACUUUUAUUUACUUACAACUCAACAAUUACAACUCAAUACUUAGAACAAAAUAUGACUCUAUGUGAAUGCCUCCGGCGGUAUACCGUGAUAUGCAAUGAAUCAAGAGUGACAUGUAUGAAAGAAUUAUGAACGGUGGCUUUGCCACAAAUACAAUGUCAACUACAUGAUCAUGGAAAGCAAUAUGACAAUGAUGGAGUGUGUCAUAAUAAACUGAACGGUGGUAAGUUGCAUGGCAAUAUAUCUCAGAAUGGCUAUGGAAAUGCCACGGUAGGUAGGUAUGGUGGCUGUUUUGAGGAAGGUAUAUGGUGGGUGUAUGAUACCGGCGAAAAGUGCGCGGUAUUAGAGAGGCUAGCAAUGGUGGAAGGAAGAAAGUGCGUAUAAUCCAUGGACUCAACAUUAGCCAUAAAGAACUCAUAUACUUAUUGCAAAAAUCUACAAGUUAAUGAAAAUCUAGGGGGAUAGAUUGGUAGGAAAAGACCAUCGCUCGUCCCCGACCGCCACUCAUAAGGAAGACAAACAAUAAAUAAAUCAUGCUCCGACUUCAUCACAUAACGGUUCACCAUACGUGCAUGCUAAGGGAAUCACAAACUUUAACACAAGUAUUUCGCAAAUUCAAAACUACUCAACUAGCAUGACUGUAAUAUCACCAUCUCCAUAUCUCAAAACAAUUAUCAAGUAUCAAACUUCUCAUAGUAUUCAACACACUCAUAAGAUUUUUUUUACUAAUCUUGAGUGCCUAUCAUAAUUAAAGCAAAUUACCACGCUGUUUUGUAGGACUAUCAAAAUAAUCUAAGUGAAUCAUGAGAGAACAAUAGUUUCUAUAAAAAAAAACCACCACCGUGCUCUAAAAGAUAUACGUGAAGCACUAGAGCAAAAACUAUAUAGCUCAAAAGAUAUAAGUGAAGCACAUAGAGUAUUCUAACAAUUUCCGAAUCAUGUGUGUCUCUCUCAAAAGGUGUGUACUGCAAGGAUUAUUGUGGCAAACUAACAAAUAAAGACUUCAAAUAAUACAAGACGCUCCAAGAAAAACACAUAUCAUGUGGUGAAUAGAAAUAUAGCUCCAAGUAAAGUUACCGAUGGAAGUAGACGAAAGAGGGGAUGCCUUCCGGGGCAUCCCCAAGCUUUGGCUUUUAGGUGUCCUUAGAUUAUCUUGGGGUGCCAUGGGCAUCCCCAAGCUUAGGCUCUUGCCACUCCUUGUUUCAUAAUCCAUCAAAUCUUUCACCCAAAACUUGAAAACUUCACAACACAAAACUCAGCAGAAAAUCUCGUGAGCUCCGUUAGCAAAAGAAAACAAAACACCACUUCAAGGUACUGUAAUGAACUCAUUAUUUAUUUAUAUUGGUGUUAAACCUAAUGUAUUCCAACUUCUCUAUGGUUUAUAAACUAUUUUACUAGCCAUAGAUUCAUCAAAAUAAGCAAACAACACACGAAAAACAUAAUCUGUCAAACACAGAACAGUCUGUAGUAAUCUGUAACUAACGCAAUUUUCUGGGACUCCAAAAAUUGACCCAAAAUAGGAAGACCUAGACAAUUUUUUUAUUGAUCAGCAGCAAUUGGAAUCAAUAUUUUAGCACGUCCUGGUGAUUUUUAACAAUUAUUUUCAUGAACAGAAAGUUUCUGGAAUUUUCAGCAAGAUCAAAUAACUAUCAUCCUAGAAGAUCCUAUAGGUUAAACAUGGCACAAACACUAAUUAAAACAUAAAAACACAUGUAACCAGAGGCUAGAUCAAAUAUUUAUUCCUAAAAAAAAGAAAAAAGCAAAAAAACUAAAAAUAAAAUUGGGUUGCCUCCCAACAAGCGCUAUCGUUUAACGCCCCUAGCUAGGCAUAAUAGCAAGGAUAGAUCUAGGUAUUGCCAUCUUUGGUAGGCAAUCCAUAAGUGGCUCUCAUAAUAGAUUCAUAAGGUAAUUUUAUUUUCUUUCUAGGGAAGUGUUCCAUGCCUUUCCUUAAUGGAAAUUGGAAUCUAAUAUUCCCUUCCUUCAUAUCAAUAAUUGCACCAAUCGUUCUAAGGAAAGGUCUACCAAGAAUAAUAGGACAUGAAGGAUUGCAAUCUAUAUCAAGAACAAUAAAAUCUACGGGCACAUAAUUCCUAUUUGCAACAAUAAGAACAUCAUCAAUUCUUCCCAUAGGUUUCUUAAUGGUGGAAUCCGCAAGGUGCAAGUUUAAAGAGCAAUCAUCAAAAUCACGGAAACCUAGCAAAUCGCACAAAAUCUUUGGAAUCGUGGAAACACUACCACCCAAAUCACACAAAGCAUAGAAUUCAUGAUCUUUAAUUUUAAUUUUAGUAGUAGGUUCCCACUCAUCAUAAAGUUUUCUAGGGAUAGAAACUUCCAACUCAAGUUUUUCUUCAUAAGAUUGCAUCAAAGCAUCAACGAUAUGUUUAGUAAGGCUUUAUUUUGACUAUAAUCAUGUGGAGAAUUUAGCACGGAUUGCAACAAGGAAAUACAAUCUAUCAAAGAGCAAUUAUCAUAAUUAAAUUCCUUGAAAUCCAAAAUAGUGGGUUCAUUAAUAUCUAGAGUUUUGAUUUCUUCAAUCCCACUUUUACCAAUUUUUGCAUCAAGAUCUAAAAACUCUGAAUUUUUGGAACGCCUUCUAGGUAGAGGUGGAUCAUAUUCAGUCCCAUCAUUAUCAAGAUUCAUAUUGCAAAACAAAGAUUGAAUAGGGGACACAUCAAUAACUUUUAGAUCUUCAUCUUUAUUUUCAUAGAAACUAGAAGAACACGCUUUCACAAAACAAUCUUUCUUAGCACGCAUCCUAGCGGUUCUUUCUUUGCACUCAUCAAUGGAAAUUCUCAUGGCCUUGAGAGACUCAUUGAUAUCAUGCUUAGGAGAAAUUGUAUCAGCGUUCCUAGCCAAUUCAUCAACUUUAAGCAAUUUUUCUUGAAGCAAAGCGUUGAAAUUGUUUUGCGAAUUCAUAAAUUCUUUAACACUAGUCUCAAAUUCAGAAGGCAUCUUAUUAAAAUUUACAUAAUAAUUGUUGUAGGAAUUACCAUAAUUAUUAGAGGAAUUACUAGGAUACGACCUUGGAUUAAAGUUUCCUCUAUACGCGUUGUUACCAAAAUUAUUCCGACCAACAAAAUUCACAUCCAUAGAUUCAUUAUUAUUCUCAAUCAAAGUAGACAAAGGCAUAUCAUUAGGAUCAGAAGAAACACUUUUAUUAGCAAAUAAUUUCAUAAGUUCAUCCAUCUUACACUCAAAACAUUAAUUUCUUCUAUCGCAUGCACUUUUUUAUUAGUGGAUUUUUCGGUGUGCCAUUGAGAAUAAUUAACCAUAAUAUUAUCUAGGAGUUUAGUAGCUUCUCCUAAAGUGAUUUCCAUAAAAGUGCCUCCCGCGGCCGAAUCUAAAAGAUUUCUAGAAGAAAAAUUCAAUCCGGCAUAAAAAUUUUGUAUAAUCAUCCACAAAUUCAAACCAUGAGUAGGGCAAUUACGUAUCAUUAAUUUCAUCCUCUCGCAAGCUUGUGCAACAUGUUCAUGAUCAAGUUGCUUAAAAUUCAUAAUAUCGUUUCUGAGAGAGAUGAUCUUAGUGGGAGGAAAAUACUUAGAGAUAAAAGCAUCUUUGCACUUAUUUCAAGAAUCACUACUAUUUUUAGGCAAAGACGAAAACCAAGCUUUAGCACGAUCUCUAAGCGAAAAAGGAAAUAGUUUCAAUUUAACAAUAUCAUUGUCCACAUCUUUCUUCUUUUGCAUAUCACACAAAUCAACGAAGUUGCCAUGUCUAGGAAUGCUUGAAGCUUCAAAGAUUUCCUAUAAUACAACAUGCCUCUAACUAUUCACAAUAAGAAAAACAUGUAAAUGCGGAAUCAACCAAAUGAUGGUAAAUUGUAGUUGAUUUUGGCCAAGCAAACGUCAGAUGAAAGAAACAUACAUGAGUGAACAUCACUAUUGGAUGUUUUAUUCAAAUUUAAUAGGUUAAACUCACCAAAUCCAUCUGGAUAUUUAGUAUUAAACUUCAACAGAUGGUCAGUUGUAGCUAGAUUCACACCACUGAAGCAAAAUUCCAUCUGCCACGGUUACAUCACACCAUCUUUUCAUCGUUACUAUUUAAAUUCCAAAUGCCUGCAACUCAUUUUUUUUGUUACGAUGUAUGCAUGAUUUUUAACUCAAGAGGAAGAGGGGAAACUAAAUCCAAGAAAAGAACACCAAGGAAGCAUCCAAAAUAGAGAAAGGAAAAAAAUCCAAAAUAGAGGCAGAAUCGAAGGGAAGAAACCCCAUAAAAAAUAGGAGAUCAAACGGUGAAAAAAAUCUAAGAGUCAAACAAUUCUAGGUAAGACCAAAUCGACGGCAAAAUAGCACAAGAGGGACUCACAUUAACAGGUAUACCAGGUAUACCAAUUUAGAAAGAAGUGUAAAGCGAACAGUGCAAUGGACCACUAGUAUAAAUUGGAUGUACACAAACAUGGGACUUAAACAAGAACUGCGAGAUGCAGGGUUCACGUGCAAACCCAAAAAAUGGAAAACUGAAACCCACAACAAGAUUUUAUCUUCAUAUAUAUAUAUAUAUAUAUAUAUAUAUAUAUAUAUAUAUAUAUAUAUAUAUAUAUAUAUAUAUAUAUUCAAGGCUCGCCCUAUCUAUUAGUUGCUUCUUCCGAAUCCCCACCUAUCAAGCGUUUUCUCUGAAUAAACAAACACAAUAGUAUUCUUUGAAUUAUACUGUACAACGGUAAUUAACCAAGCGACUGGAAUUAACAAUAUUAUGAGCUAUUGGCUUUUUAGUCAGGUAAAUAUCAUUCUUAAGACUACGGAAAACAACAGGCGGCGAAGAAAACAUCUAUUUAUGAGAACUAUACACAUACUUAAGAAGGAAGUGACAUCUAUGGUAGCAGAACAUAUAUCAAGCUGUUGCAGCUACAUUAGCAGUUUAGCACAGUUCCUCCAUAAUACACAGGCUAGUGUAAUUUCACAAAUACAAUAAGCUAACAAUAUAUAUUUGGUAGAUGGAAAUGGCUGGAUCAUGAGCAAUAUACCAUUACACAUCCGAUGAUGCAAAUAAAGAAACGAGGCCCAACAAUAGUGGAAAAUAAACCACAAUAGAACAUGUAUUUGGCGAAACCUCCAUACUGCAAUAUCAAACAUGAAUUGAAAUUAACAAUCUAGCAAAAAAACAUGACAGAUGCAGUCUUGGUCAUUUUUCCUUUUGUGACAUCCCCUAAAAAAAGUAAAAACAAUGUUGUUCGUAUUUUACCAGAGAUACACUGAGCUGGGACAAAUCGGUCUGAAAUAAAAUAUGAUGGCUUCGGAGGAUUCGGAAGGCAAGAAAUUUGCUUUCUUCCAACAUAUAUGGUCUGCUGAACUAAACUUCGUUUCAACGGGCUUUGGCAAAAAUCUGUAACUGCAAACAUCAACUUGUGUGCCCUUCCUACGUCAAACUUUAAACUUGACGGAUUAAAUAUUUUAGGUUAGGCUGAGAUCAGUGUACUUUAUGAGUGUUAAGUGUACUUUCUAAAUAGCAGAGAAACCAUAACAUCUAAGCACAACCCAGCAACUUGUACAAGCUAACAUCAAAUCUGAAAGAGGAAAUGUCGAGAACAGGUGAAGGUACCAUGAUCCACGACUGAGCAAAGUUAUCUAUAAUCCUCGGUGAAUAUCAUAAAUUAGGAUCAACUACGCUAAAGAACAAACGGGAAAGGAACCUAGAAAGAUCUUCUGCCGGUAGAAUAUAACUGAUACACUAUCCUCGUUCUCGAGAUCAAGGUCGUUUCUUGAAUUGCAGUUUCCUCACUGUAGUAUGGGGUCAUUACACUGUGAAGAACAAAGUGUCAUAUGAAUCAUUUAGAGCCCAAUCUUUUUCACUGAAACUCUUAUGAUCACAUAACGAAUUUAAACAUAAGGUUUAUUAGAUAUUUGUUGUUGUGAACAGAUAAUAUAUUUCUGGUGUUGACAAUGUUUUGAUUAUGGAUGCACUUCAAGAUGGGUGGCACAGAUUCUGUUGUACAGGCCUCCACCUGGAAUUUCAUCACUUGUUAUUUUUGUUUUAGAAUGUCUAGGUGCAUUUUUCCUUUAAGGUGGAAACAGAUGUACUUGUAUAAGCAACAAGAAUACAAAGCGCCACUGCCAUACAUUGUGGAAGUUCAGUGCUUCUGUUUACAAAAUCUGCUUCCCAAAACAGAAGGAUUUAUAAUUUUUUAUUACAAUCAAGCGGACAUGAGCUGAUGAGUACAGAUGUAGACAUGUACUGAGAGCAGCACCCUUUCAAAAGUGGAUCAUUUACAAGUUGGAUAGUUUGAUGGUCUGAAAUUAGUGGUCGUGUUUCAGAAUUGUUAUCGAAUAGUAGGGGAUAUAUAUUAAAUUCUGAAAUUAGUGGUUGUUUGUCAGAACUGUUAUCGAAUAACAGAGCACAUAUAUUAACUUCAAUAAGUGGAGUAAUAUCUUUGGAUUCGCUGUGAGGAAAGAUUACCAAAACAAAACAGAAGUGAGCACUGGUAGAAAAUGGGCCUUUAGUCCCGGUUCGCAAAGGCCAUUAAUCCCGGCUGUGCAACCGGGACUAAANNNNNNNNNNNNNNNNNNNNNNNNNNNNNNNNNNNNNNNNNNNNNNNNNNNNNNNNNNNNNNNNNNNNNNNNNNNNNNNNNNNNNNNNNNNNNNNNNNNNNNNNNNNNNNNNNNNNNNNNNNNNNNNNNNNNNNNNNNNNNNNNNNNNNNNNNNNNNNNNNNNNNNNNNNNNNNNNNNNNNNNNNNNNNNNNNNNNNNNNNNNNNNNNNNNNNNNNNNNNNNNNNNNNNNNNNNNNNNNNNNNNNNNNNNNNNNNNNNNNNNNNNNNNNNNNNNNNNNNNNNNNNNNNNNNNNNNNNNNNNNNNNNNNNNNNNNNNNNNNNNNNNNNNNNNNNNNNNNNNNNNNNNNNNNNNNNNNNNNNNNNNNNNNNNNNNNNNNNNNNNNNNNNNNNNNNNNNNNNNNNNNNNNNNNNNNNNNNNNNNNNNNNNNNNNNNNNNNNNNNNNNNNNNNNNNNNNNNNNNNNNNNNNNNNNNNNNNNNNNNNNNNNNNNNNNNNNNNNNNNNNNNNNNNNNNNNNNNNNNNNNNNNNNNNNNNNNNNNNNNNNNNNNNNNNNNNNNNNNNNNNNNNNNNNNNNNNNNNNNNNNNNNNNNNNNNNNNNNNNNNNNNNNNNNNNNNNNNNNNNNNNNNNNNNNNNNNNNNNNNNNNNNNNNNNNNNNNNNNNNNNNNNNNNNNNNNNNNNNNNNNNNNNNNNNNNNNNNNNNNNNNNNNNNNNNNNNNNNNNNNNNNNNNNNNNNNNNNNNNNNNNNNNNNNNNNNNNNNNNNNNNNNNNNNNNNNNNNNNNNNNNNNNNNNNNNNNNNNNNNNNNNNNNNNNNNNNNNNNNNNNNNNNNNNNNNNNNNNNNNNNNNNNNNNNNNNNNNNNNNNNNNNNNNNNNNNNNNNNNNNNNNNNNNNNNNNNNNNNNNNNNNNNNNNNNNNNNNNNNNNNNNNNNNNNNNNNNNNNNNNNNNNNNNNNNNNNNNNNNNNNNNNNNNNNNNNNNNNNNNNNNNNNNNNNNNNNNNNNNNNNNNNNNNNNNNNNNNNNNNNNNNNNNNNNNNNNNNNNNNNNNNNNNNNNNNNNNNNNNNNNNNNNNNNNNNNNNNNNNNNNNNNNNNNNNNNNNNNNNNNNNNNNNNNNNNNNNNNNNNNNNNNNNNNNNNNNNNNNNNNNNNNNNNNNNNNNNNNNNNNNNNNNNNNNNNNNNNNNNNNNNNNNNNNNNNNNNNNNNNNNNNNNNNNNNNNNNNNNNNNNNNNNNNNNNNNNNNNNNNNNNNNNNNNNNNNNNNNNNNNNNNNNNNNNNNNNNNNNNNNNNNNNNNNNNNNNNNNNNNNNNNNNNNNNNNNNNNNNNNNNNNNNNNNNNNNNNNNNNNNNNNNNNNNNAUAUAGAGCUCAAAUGAUUGAAAAUAAUUACUUUUGCAGCAUUUUUCUCAUGUCGGCCCAACGCUUUGGAUCCGAAUCCAUAGAGUCCAUGAUUAGAACUCUGGAGGUGUGAAGUUCAAUAUUUAGCAGAAUCCAGUGGAACCUGCGGACACGUUACAUGCACAGUCAUGCAUAACUCAUCGAUUAGACAUACCAUGCAUGGAGUAAACAAAAGAGAAUGGGCACAAGAGAGAAACACUCACCCAAAAUGGUAAGGAAAUAGAAUAUGACUUUUGAGUUGAUGCUUUCUAAGAAACUUGUACAAGUCUUUCUCCAUGUCUUCGGGGUGAUUUUGUAACACAUGUCCAUUAACGAUAUGUGGGUCAAUGAACCCAACAUCAUGGAUGUUUCUUAUUUUGCAUUCCCAAAUCUUCAAUCUGCAUAAUAGCGUACGCAACAAUAUAGUUAGGACAAUAUAUAUAUAUAUAUAUAGUGCAGGCAAUGAAGAACGAGAUGAGGUAGAAAUAAAUCACUUACAUAACGUAGCAACUCAGGAUAGAUUUGUCGAGCUCGCGCAGAUUGAACAGCUGGAACAAUUCACUCAUAUGAACUUGUACAAAGUACCGUUUGGUGUGAUGCUCCUCUGUAACAUCCGCAUAAAUAUAUUCUUUGUCGGCCCAUGUUAUGAAUUGCUUGUACCAACGUAGAAGAUUUCGCAUUUGUGGUGGUAGACUCUUUUCCCGUGCAGGCUCGACGAGAGGCCCAUUCCGCACAUAUUGUAAUGCUAUCUCACAUACUGGCGCAUCCUCAAGGCCUAAGAUGGCACGAAGAGUCAAACCCAUCUCGGACGUUUGUUUCAUGGCACUCGCUACAGUCAAUCCAAGUGCUGCCGCAGCUCCUAUGAUCUCGGGGUCCUCUUCCGGACCGGCUUUCACUAUGAGCGGGGGGAUCGAUUGUUUAUUCUGCAUCCCGAGCUGGUCAACUUGUUUCCCGCUUUUUUUACUUUCUUCUUUCUCCUCCUUCAAUAUUUUUGCUUGCCAACGAAGUUCAUGUCAAUAGUCGUCAGGCAUAUUCAGCUCGGCUUGGGACGGUGUCGUCAAAAAAUCCUUAGCCCACUUCUUUUGCUUCUCAGUGAAUACUUGCUUGGGCUCAGGCUCUUUUUUCGAAUUCGUAUCCGCCUUCCAUUUCUCAUAAUGAGCAGACGCGGCCAAUUUGGUUUCAGCUUCACUAAGUUCCCAAGGCCUUGGGAGGAGAGGCUUCAGUGAUGGCUCCGGUACCCUUGUGGUCUUACGUACAUAAGGGUCCGGGUUAAUAGUCCAGGAGAGGGUUUCCUUGCUGUCCGCCUGCUUCUACUUCUUCGCCGGAGGUGGAUUGGGGGGCGUCGUACCCGCCGGAGGAGGAUUGGGGGGCGUCGUACCUGCCGGAGGAGGAUUGGGGGGCGGCGGCUGCUUACCCGCCGGAGGUUGUGGAUCGGGGGACGGCGUCGAAUGGCGUGAAGGAGGUGUAGGUGAACCACCACGACCACCACCACCACCACCACCAUCGGAGGGGGUGGACUUGUUAGCAUUGGCGCCUCGCCUGGAAACACUAUGUACUUCUUUUUCCAUAGAAUGAUCUGGCGCUUGACAUCUCCAAGUCUUCUCUCCCCUUCGGGUGUAGCUUUGUCAAUCUCCAGGUCCUCAAACUAUUGGACUAUGUCUUCCACCGUGACACGAGCAUAGCCAUAUGCAAUGGGGUUGUUGUGGUGGAGUGCUCCAGGUGUACAGGGUAAAGCACUGCCAGUAGCUACCUUCGUGGAAACGUUCCCCACGGGAUAAUGCAGAUCACAUUCUUUCAUCUCCUUUACAUCAUCCACGGGGUAGUGAGGCUCCGGUGCACGAAUCUCGAUCAUCGGUGCAUUAGCACCAGGCGGGGCAUCCGUGGAAGCCACGCUGCUUCUCCGCUGCUGGCUUCCGCGAUCCGCUUCAUGAUCUUCAUGCGGCCCUGCAGCCGAUUUUUCUUUUACUAGUUCAUGCACGGUCUGCUUCAACUCAUGGAGUUCCGAUGCAAACUUCACCAAAAGAUCUGCAUCCCGGUCCGUCUUUCUCUUACGGCUUCUGUAACAGUACGGGUCAUUGUCCUGGGAAAACCCUACUUUCCACGAAAUUCUGCCUUUGCCUCGUACACGUCCUCCGUGUUCAUCAUUCCGAGGGCUGUUGUCAGUGCGUCUUUCUCUCUGUUGAACUUGAUCAAGCCCUCUUGAGCUUGGGUCAUUGCGUCAAUAAGGGCUUGGGUGGGAGCAAACUUUUUCUUCCGGUGAACACACACCCCUGUCUCCGGGUCUAGCGAUCCCCCAUGCCCGUACCACCAGCUUUUGGCCCUUGGGUCCCAUCCCUCUGUACCUAGAGGGAUUCCUCGCACCCUCAGGUCCUCCUCCAUCUUCUGCCACUUAGGCUCCGAAAGGCGGUAUCCUCCUGGCCCCAUAAUAUGAUGGAACUUUUUCUUACUCGCAUUAUCCUUAUUUUUUCCGACAUUUCCUUGAAAUGCUCUGAUUUUUUUUGCCUCACAAAUUCUGGCCAAUCAUCUUUCAGUUUCUCAUGUUGUCCAUUGAAAUCCGGAGUCUUGCCCUUGUUGACAUAGUCACGGGUUAAAUUUUUCUUGAAGUUCCGGAAUGCUUCGCCCAUCUUCUCAAGAGCGAACUCUUUAACUAGCCUCCUCCUCUCACGUCCACCCGGAACCUCGUUACCGAAUUCAUCGACUUUGUUGUAUUCCGGAGGUAGAAUGAAAUGUUCCAUAAGCUUUUUCCAGCAAUCCUUUUUCGUUCUCUUGUCGACAAAACUGAAACCAAGACGUGCCUUCUUUGGCUCCUUCCAUUCCUGGACGGUGAUCGGGACGUUGUCUCUAACAACGACUCCACAUUGGUUGAUAAACUUUGAGGUGUGCUGUAGGGGCUUGCCGGUUUCACUGACAAAAUCAAUGGCAUAUGUUUCUCCUUUUUUCAUCGCCUUGGAUUUGCCACGCUUUGUCGUACUCGAUCCGGCCGAGGGUCGCGCACGUUAAUACAUAUGUAUUCGCAUUUCAGUAAGUUUGUAUCACGAGAGGCUCAAUGUAUAUAUAUACCUCGCCGGAGGUGGUUGCUACUUGCAAUUCGAGAUUGUCGUUUGUUGACGGUUGACCUCCGUUGACAAUGUCCGUUCCUUCACCUUCUUGAUCAUCGACAAUGUCUGUUCCACCGUCAAGGUUCAGAAAAGAAGAGACUACAUCCUCUUCUUGCUCAUAUUCUGAGCCCGGCACAUAAGGAAUCUCGUUGUUUAUGAUGCCCAUUAAAUAACGUUCAGCCUCCGGAUCCCUAAGCGGCUCGGCUCUAUCGUCCGCCAUAUGUCACUCCUGCAUGUAGUCAAAAUUAAUUAAGUAUAAAGGAAUUAAAAAAUAAGAUUAAGGGGACAUAGAGGAGGAGCAGCUACGGUUGAAUGAUUAAGAGCUAUUAAAAAAUAAAAUUGAUGUUUUUCCUUUUCUUUUUCCUUUUCUUUUUCCUCUCUACUCUCUCUUUCCUUUUCUUUUUCCUUUUCUUUUCCUUUUCUUUUUCCUUUAUACAAUUAUUCCCAAAUAAAUUUCCUUUUCUUUUUCCUUUUCUUUUUCCUCUCUGCUCUCUCUUUCCUUUUCUUUUUCCUUUUCUUUUUCCUUUAUACAAUUAUUCCCAAAUAAAUUUCCUUUUCUUUUUCCUUUUCUUUUUCCUCUCUGCUCUCUCUUUCCUUUUCUUUUUCCUUUUCUUUUUCCUUUUCUUUUUCCUCUCUACUCUCUCUUUCCGUUUGUUGACGGCAGGCGGCGGCGGGAGGCAGAGGAGGGCAGGCCNNNNNNNNNNNNNNNNNNNNNNNNNNNNNNNNNNNNNNNNNNNNNNNNNNNNNNNNNNNNNNNNNNNNNNNNNNNNNNNNNNNNNNNNNNNNNNNNNNNNNNNNNNNNNNNNNNNNNNNNNNNNNNNNNNNNNNNNNNNNNNNNNNNNNNNNNNNNNNNNNNNNNNNNNNNNNNNNNNNNNNNNNNNNNNNNNNNNNNNNNNNNNNNNNNNNNNNNNNNNNNNNNNNNNNNNNNNNNNNNNNNNNNNNNNNNNNNNNNNNNNNNNNNNNNNNNNNNNNNNNNNNNNNNNNNNNNNNNNNNNNNNNNNNNNNNNNNNNNNNNNNNNNNNNNNNNNNNNNNNNNNNNNNNNNNNNNNNNNNNGCAGGGCAGGGCAGGGGCGGCGGCGGCAGUGCAGGGCAAGGGCGGCGGCGUAGGGCAGGGGAAGUGGGGGGCGGCGGAGCUCACUGGGGGCAGGGCGCUGGUGUCGGGGCAGGGCGUCGGCGUCGAUCGGCGUCGGGGCAGCAGCCUGGCGGCGUCGGCGUCGAUCGGCGUCGGGGCAGGGCGUCGGCGUCGAGAGGAGAAUGAGAGGUGGGGGAAAAUUUACUAAGUGUUAUAUAUAUAGACAGAGCAUUAGUCCCGGUUGGGGACGCCAACCGCGACUAAAGGUACCUUUAGUCGCGGUUGGUCUCCCCAACCGGGACUAAAGGUUCUUUCGCGCCGCUUUCGUUCCCGCGCGGAAAGAGCCUUUAGUCGCGGUUCGUGUCACGAACCGCGACUAAAGGUCCUUUUUCAUAUACUUUUCAGAAAAUACAAAUAAUAUAUCAAAAAAUUCAGAAAAAUAAAACUAAUUCAUUUUAAAAUCUUAAAAAUAGAAAUAAUAUAUCAAAAAAUUCAGAAAAAUAAAANNNNNNNNNNNNNNNNNNNNNNNNNNNNNNNNNNNNNNNNNNNNNNNNNNNNNNNNNNNNNNNNNNNNNNNNNNNNNNNNNNNNNNNNNNNNNNNNNNNNNNNNNNNNNNNNNNNNNNNNNNNNNNNNNNNNNNNNNNNNNNNNNNNNNNNNNNNNNNNNNNNNNNNNNNNNNNNNNNNNNNNNNNNNNNNNNNNNNNNNNNNNNNNNUUAAAAUCUUAAAAAUAGAAAUAAUAUAUCAAAAAAUUCAAAAAAAUAAAACUAAUUCAUUUGAAAAUCUUAAAAAUACAUAUAAUAUAUCAAAAAAUUCUGAAAAAUAAAACUAAUUCAUUUUAAAAAUUCAGACCGAUUGUUUUGUUCUACAUCCUCGAUCCCUUGAAGGUUUGACAAAAGGUUUGAUACAUCAUUCAGUUCAUCGGCCAAAUACAAAUCAUCCGGAUUCGCCAUCGUACGUUUUAAUUCACAUGAUCCAUUCAACAAAGUUUGGUACAAUAAAUUAUUACACAUCAAUUCUUCCCGUGUGUCCCUGCUUGCUUACGAUUGUGCCGUAUCCAUGGAGCAUCCUCAUCAUUUAACUUAAUGCUUGGGUCAGUGUUCACUUUGAAGGGCGGAAUUUCACCAAACAUAUUAUAAUCUUCUGACAUGUCUGUCUUGUCCUCCACUCCCACAAUGUUUCUUUUCCCUGAAAGAACAAUGUGGCGCUUUGGAUCAUCGCAUGAUGUACUGAUCGUUUUCUUAUCUUUCCGUUUCCUCGGUUUGCUACUCAUGUCCUUCAAAUAAAAAACCUGAGCGACAUCUUUGGCAAGGACGAAUGGUUCGUCAAGGUAACCAAGAUUGUUGAAAUCCACCAUUGUCAUUCCGUAUUGCUCGUCCACCUUUACCCCACCUCCUGUUAGCUUGAACCAUUUGCACCGGAACAAAGGGACCUUAAAGGAGGGUCCAUAGUCAAGUUCCCAUAUCUCCUCUAUGUGACCAUAAUAUGUGACCUUUUGCCCAUUCUCGGUUGCUGCAUCAAAGCGGACACCACUGUUUUGGUUGGUGCUCUUUUUAUCUUGGGCGAUGGUGUAAAAUGUAUUCCCAUUUAUCUCGUACCCUUGGAAAGUCGUUAUAGUCGAAGAUGGUGUCUUGGCCAACAUGUACAGCUGAUCUCCAACAUCAUUGUCAUUCAUUAAAUGUUUUCGCAACCAACUGCCGAAAGUCUCCAUGUGGGCCUUUCUAAUCCAGGAUUCAGGUUUCCCCGGGUUGUCCGAGCGUAAAAUAUUCUUGUGUUGCUCGAACUACGGAGCCACCAAGCUGGAAUUUUGUAGAACUGUGUGGUGUGCUUCAGUCAUAGAAUGACCGUCCAUACAUAUCGUUGAUUUCCUUCCGAUCGUGCCUUUUCCACUUAGUCUCCCCUCGUGCCGCGAUUGAGGAAUACCAAUCGGCUUAAGGUCAGGAACAUAGUCAAUACAGAACUCAAUUACCUCCUCAUUUCCAUAGCCCUUGACGAUGCUUCCUUCUGGCCUAGCACGGUUACGAACAUAUUUCUUUAAUACUCCCGUGAACCUCUCAAAGGGGAACAUAUUGUGUAGAAAUACAGGACCGAGAAUGGAAAUCUCUUCGACUAGGUGGAGCAGGAGGUGCGUCAUAAUAUCGAAGAAGGAUGGUGGGAACACCAACUCAAAACUGACAAGGCAUUGGACCACAUCGUUCUGUAACCGUGGUAGAUCUUCUGGAUUGAUUACCUUCUGAGAGAUUGCAUUGAGGAAUGCACAUAGCUUCACAAUGGCUACUCGAACAUUUUCCGGUAAGAGCCCCCUCAAAGCAAUCGGAAGAAAUUGCGUCAUAAUCACGUGGCAGUCGUGAGACUUCAGGUUUAGGAACUUUUUGUCCGCCAUGUUUAUUAUUCCCUUUAUAUUCGACGAGAAGCCAGACGGGACCUUCAUACUGCUCAGGCAUUCAAAAAAUGACCUUCUCUUCUUUGGUAAGAGCGUAGCUGGCACGACCUUGAAACCAUUCCGGAUGCCGGUCAUCUGGGUCUUUCAAAAGUUGUUGGUCCUGCCGUGCUUCCUUUGUAUCAUUUGUCUUCCCAUACACGCCCAAGAAGCUUAGCAGGUUCACGCAAAUAUUCUUCGUAACAUGCAUCACGUCGAUUGCAGAGCGGACAUCUAGGACUUUCCAAUAUUCUAGCUCCCAAAAUAUAGAUUUCUUCUUCCACAUGGGUGCGUGCCCGUCAACUCCCCGCGGAACUGAUUGUCCGCCAGGACCCUUUCCAAAGAUGACUUUCAAAUCCUUGACCAUAUCAAAUAUCUCAGCACCAGUACGUUCCGCAGGCUUCGGCCGGUGAUCUGCCUUGCCGUUGAAAUGCUUGCCUUUCUUUCUUACGUUAUGAUUUCGGGGAAGAAAUCGACGAUGACCCAGGUACACGUUCUUCUUACAAUUACCCAAACGUACACUUUCAGUCUCAUGUAAGCAGUGCGUGCAUGCAUUGUAUCCCUUAUUUGUCUGUCCCGAAAGGUUACUGAGAGCAGGCCAAUCGUUGAUGGUUACAAAAAGCAACGCUCGUAGGUCAAAUUCCUCUUCUUUGUGCUCAUCCCAGACACGUACACCAGCUCUGCCCCACAACUGUAAAAGUUCAUCAACUAAUGGCCUUAGGUACACAUCGAUGUCGUACCCGGGUUGCUUUGGACCUUGGAUGAGCACUGGCAUCAUAAUGAACUUCCGCUUCAUGCACAACCAAGGAGGAAGGUUGUAGAUGCAUAGAGUCACGGGCCAGGUGCUAUGGCUGGAGCUCUGCUCGCCAAAAGGAUUCAUGCCAUCAGUACUUAGACCAAAUCUUAUGUUCCUUGCGUCAGCUGCAAAAUCUUUGAACACUCUGUCGAUCUUUCUCCAUUGCGUUCCAUCAGCGGUGUGUCCCAACUCCCCGUCGGACUUACGGUCCUCUUUGUGCCAUCGCAACGACUUGGCAUGCUUUUUGUUCCUGAACAGACGUUUCAACCGUGGUAUUAUAGGAGCAUACCACAUCACCUUGGCGGGAACCCUCUUCCUGGGUUUCUCGCCCUCAACAUCGUCACCAGGGUCAUCGCCUCUGAUCUUAUAACGCAAUGCAGUGCAUACAGGGCAUUCAUUCAAAUUCUCGUAUUCACCGCGGUAGAGGAUGCAGUCGUUAAUGCAUGCAUGUAUCUUCAGAACCUCUAAACCUAGAGGGCAGACAACCUUCUUUGCUUCGUACGUACUGGCGGGCAACUCGUUAUUCUUCGGAAACAUAUUCUUCAACAUUUUCAGCAAAUUUUCAAAUGAUGAGUCAGCUACACCUUCCUGUGCCUUCCAUUUUAGCAAAUCCAGUGUGCAACCCAACUUUUUCAGACUAUUAUCGCAUCCUGGGUACAACGACUUUUUGUGAUCCUCUAACAUGCGAUCCAAAUUCUCCCUCUCCUUGUCAGUUUCGCAGCGUCUCCGUGCAUCAGCAAUGGUCCGACCAAGAUCAUCAGCGGGCUCAUCAUGUGCCUCUUCUUCACCUUCACCUAACCCUUCCCCACCUUCAGCAUCAUCCUCCAUGAAAGUAUCACCGAAAUGAUCAUGAUAGUUGUCAUCGAUAUCAUCCCCUUCUUCAUCUUGUUCCAUUCUAACCCCUCUUUCUCCAUGCUUGGUCCAACAAUUAUAGCUUCGCAUGAAACCGUGCCGAAGCAGGUGCAUGUGAACGUCUCUUGAGGAGGAGUAACCCUUCUGAUUCUUACAGACACCACAUGGACAGAUAAUAAAACCUCGCUGCUUGUUCGCAUUUGCCACUACGAGGAAAUCUUUCAAACCCGUAGUGAACCGCCGGAGAGUCGGGGACCGUACAUCCAUUGCCGAUUCAUCUGCAUUAUUAUUAUAUAAAGUAUAUAAUUAACCAUCAUGCAUUUGUUAAACUAACUAGCUAGAAAUAAUACAAAUUAAACAAUGAACUACACACAUCCAUAUUUUAUCAAUGACACAUGAAAGGUUCAAGUUGCUAACCGCGAUCGCGGAGGAAAAAUAAAUGAGAAAGCUCAAGUGUGGCUCGGACACUUCAUAUCAUGUUUGUUUCAUGCUCUCGGGCAUUUCAUCGAACACCUUGUGUGCAUAGGAGGAACCAAAAGCAAACCCACCAGCCCCCUUCUGAAUUGUGGCUAAGUGAAGUGAGCUGAGUCCUAUAUAUAGGGAUGGGCCUUUAGUCCCGGCUGGCCUGGCCAACCGCAACUAAAGGCCUUCGGGCCAGCCUGAGGACCUUUAGUCCCGGUUGGCCAGGCCAACCGGGACUAAAGCCCCUCCCGUCCGCCAGCUGUCGACCGAGCGCGCUGGGCCCAGAUAGUUGGUCGCGGGUCUCCUCCCGAACCGCGACUAAAGACCCCUUUGGUCGCGGUUCGAUUAUUUUAGAGACUAAUGGGGGCGUAUGGAAGCCUCUGUUUCUACUAGUGGAGUGCGACGACCCAGAUGAGGGCGCUCUUGAGCUUCUUCCCGACCGACCUAGAUGCAGGAGCAGACCACGGCGGAUCUAAUCAGCCAACGAAUAAAACUGAGGCAGGUAGAGGAAGUAAGGGAGGAAGAAGACUGACUUGUCCUGGUCGCCCUCGUAGUAGAACCUGUGUUUUGAUUUUCGGCCAAAAAAGUGGAUUUCGGCCAUCUCGGCCUGGGGCAAAAAGUGUAUUUAGGCCGAAAUUGUUCAAAUUUAGCAAAUUUUGGUCAAAUUUAAGUCAAAUUGCAGUCAAAAUUUGGUCAAAUUUCAGCCGAAAUUUUUGAAAAUGGCCGAAAUUCGGCCAUCUCAGCCUAGGGAGAAAAAAAAGCUGAAACCAAAAAUCAAAACACAGAGUAGAACAUGGCGAACAGGAUGACGAGGACAGCGUCGAGGAUGUAGACGACGAGCCAGAGCAUGUUCAUGGGCAGGAUCAAGCAUGGGCAGGAUAAGGGUGCAGGCCCCGUUGUAGGCGGCAUGCUUGCAGGCCUGGCGGUUGGCGACGUCGGCGGGGAGCAUGAGGAUGGAGAGGACGGCGACGGUGAUGCCGAGCACGACGACGAGCUUGAGGAAGUAGGCCUGGUUGGCAUCAUCCGGGUGCUGGUAGUUGACGAGGAGCACCAGGAUGCUGACCACCGCCGCCACGAUCACUAGCGCCACGUUAAAAAAACCAUCUCCUCGGGGCUCCGGUCCCGGUUCCGGCCCGCCGCCUCGCCCCCUUGGUCGGUCAGAUCUCUCUGUCCCUAGAGGCGGGGGGAUACAGGCUAGGGUUUGGGCGUGGGCGGGGAAUAGGCUGCUAUGGUGCCGGCAGCGGGGCGUGUAGGAGAGAAGGAUUAGGAGGAAUAAUUCACCACACUUUGAUUAAGCUCUCGGCUGGUUCUUAUGUACAGAUUACAGGGCCAGCCAGGGAGAUCAUGGGGUGAUCCACUACCUGGGAUCGUGCGCCACGAUCACUACAUGCGUGCGCCACGAUCAUACACACACACGCUACACCUAGUGUCUACGCAACUACGGUAUAGCAGUACAGUACAGCCUAACACCCCCCGGAGUCGUGACGUCGGCGGCGGCGACGCAAAGACUGGACCGGAACUCAGAGAAAACAUCCGAUGGCAGGCCUUUGGUCAUGAUGUCGGUGUGUUGUUGGCGCGUGGGGAUGUGAAGAACACGGAAGUGGCCGAGGGCGACGCGCUCCCGCACGAAAUGGAUGUCCAGCUCCACAUGCUUAGUGCAGCGAUGAUGCACCGGAUUGGCUGACAGGUAGACUGCGGACACAUUGUCACAGUACACAAGUGCCGCCUUGGUCAUUGGAGCGGAGAGCUCGCCGAGAAGCUGGCGGAGCCAGAUGCAUUCAGCGACCGCGUUGGCGACGCCGCGGUAUUCAGCUUCGGCGCUGGAGCGCGAUACGGUCGCCUGGCGCUUGGAGGACCAGGAGACGAGAGCAUCGCCGAGGAAGACGCAGAAGCCCGACGUGGAGCGUCGGGUGUCGGGGCAGCCGGCCCAGUCCGCAUCGGUGAACGCACGGACGUCGAGCAUGGUCGAGGCGUGAAGAUGAAGCCCGAGUGCGCAGGUGCCCUUCACGUACCGGAGCACGCGCUUUACGAGCGCGAGGUGGCAUUCGCGCGGGUCAUGCAUGUGUAAGCAGAUUUGCUGGACGGCGUAGGCGAUCUCUGGACGCGUGAUGGUGAGGUACUGCAGGGCCCCGGCGAUGCUCCGAUAGGCCGAAGGGUCGUCGACGCAUGGCCCAUCGGCUGAGGGGAGUUUGCUCUUCGUGUCGAUGGGUGUCGGGGAAGGGCGGCAGGUGUCCAUGCCGGCGCGUUCCAGGAGCUCGUCGGCAUAUUGUUGUUGCGACAGGAAGAAGCCAGCUCGGGUGCGGGUGACGCGCAUGCCGAGGAAGAAGGCGAGCGAGCGCAGGUCCUUCAUGGCGAAUUCGCCUGUGAGGCGCUGGAUGACAUGGUGAAGCACGCGUGACGAGGACGCGGUGAGCACGAUGUCGUCGACGUAGAGGAGGAGGAACGCCAUGUCGUUGCCGUGCCGGAAGGUGAACAGCAACGAGUCCGAACGCGUAGCUGCGAAGCCAAUGGAGCGGACGAAGCCGGCGAAGUGGAGGAACCAGGCACGGGGCGCCUGCUUGAGCCCGUACAAGGACUUGGAGAGGCGGCAGACGUGCUCUGGUUUGUCGGGGUCGAUGAAUCCGGCGGGCUGGAGGCAGUAGACUUCCUCCUCAAGUUUCCGUGGAGGAAGGCAUUGGAGACGUCGAGGUGGUGCACCGGCCAGCCGCGCGACGCGGCCAUAGUGAGCACCAUGUGGAUCGUCACUGGCUUGACGACGGGGGAGAACGUCUCGCCGUAGUCGACGCCGGCACGCUGAUGAAAGCCCCGCACGACCCAGCAUGCUUUGUAGCGGGCCAGCACGCCGUCGGCGUCGUUUUUGUGCUUGAAGAUCCGCUUCCCUGUGAUCAGGUUGGCGCCGGGGGGGAGCGGGGCACCAGCUCCCACGUGCGAUUGCGCACGAGCGCAUCGUACUCAGCACACAUGGCAGCGAGCCAGUUCGGGUCGCGAACAGCAGCACGAACCGAACGCGGCACCGGCGACACCGAUGAUGAGCUAGAGGCGGUGGCCGCGUCGUAGUAGCGCGGCUUGGGGCGGAAGAUGCCGCGCUGGGCACGCGUGACCAUGGGCACAGGAGGCGCCGGUGCGCGGGGCGCCGCUGGUGGCGCGCUCGGAGACGAGCUGUCGGAGGAGCCACUGGGGAGUUGUCGGAGGAGGCGCUGGCGGAGGCGAAGACAAGCGGACCAGGCGCGGAUGGGCACGUCGAGGACGGAGCCGAGCCGCCAUCGGAAGCGCCCGCAGCGUACCGCGAGCUGACGCGGCGCGCCCCGCUGGUUGGCGAUGAUGAGCGGGGCAAGCCGGUGAUGGAGAUCAGGCGCGCCGGCAGCACGGGUGACAUGCUGCUGUCAGGCACCGGUGGAAGCGCGGGCAGCGCAGGAGGCCGGACGACGAGCGGGAUCUGCAGGUUAGAGGGUACGACGGGUGGCGUAGGCGACGGGGAAGAGGAUGCGAACGGGAAAACGUGUUCGUGGAAGAGAACGUGGCGAGACGUGAGGACGCGGCGAGAGGUGAGGUCAAAGCAGCGAAAACCACGAUGAUCGGGAGGGUACCCGAGGAAGACGCAGGCGAUAGAACGUGGCUCGAGCUUAUGGCGGGUGGUGGCGGUGACGUUCGGAUAGCAGAGGCAUCCAAAGACGCGGAGCUGCGAGUAAUUUGUGCGGGCAUGCGGUGACGUUCGGAUAGAUGCGGAGUAAUUUGUGCGACGCCGAGCAGGAGUUCAUGCGGAGUGCAGGGCGCCGAGGCGCGGCAGGGCCGACGAUUGAGCAGGUAGGUCGAGGUGUUGAGAGCCUCUGCCCAGAAGCGAGCGGGCAUGUGCGCAUGACAGAGAAGCACACGAACACCGUCGUUGAUCGUGCGGAGAACUCGCUCGUCCUUGCCGUUCUGCCGUGGCGAGCAAGCAGAGAGCGCGCGGCUGCACUGUCGAAUUCACGACCGUUGCCCGUUUCCAGUGCAAGUAUGGGUAACUGAAACUGAGUCUGAACAUAGGCAAAGAAAUCAACAAGUAUGGGAAGAACUUCAGACUUGUGUUUCAGAGGGAAAGUCCAGACAUAGUGACUGAAAUCAUCUAGUACAACUAAGUAAAACUGAUAGCCGGAUAUGCUUACAACGGGAGCGGUCCAUACAUCAAGGUGUAAAAGCUGGAAAGGAAAGAAACUAGCAGUGGUGGAUGUCUGAAACGUGUUGGAUCGAUGUCCGUGUAGCCCGCUUCUUUCUCUGUAGGAAGGACGCGGUUACGCUCGCGUUGACAUCGGAUGACUCGAUCACAUGCACGGGAGGGGCGGUACGACAUGGCACCGCCACGCCACCGUGCUCCCUCCCAGUGCCGACCUGGAGCAACUUGCCACUCCUCAGCUCGUGACCGGUGGGCUUGACGGGCCACCUAGCCAUUUUUUAUGCCAGACAACUCUUCUUCCUGCUCAUCAGAUGUCAUGGAUAAAACUGUUUAAGGAGGAAAAUGAUGAGUGGACGUGUGAUGCGGUUCUUGCCCAACAUCUGACAUUGUUUAAAUAGCGAGGGGACACGAGAGGAGCCAACUGGCGUUCUGUUUAAUGCCAACCGGCUCGUGAACGAACAUGUGGCCGGAGUAAUUAUCCUGGCACACACGAGGGUUUAAUGGUGGAAGGCGGGCAGUCUGCAGGAAUGAGGCGAGGAUGUGUGCUUAGCCGGCGUGCAGUAGGCGGCGCCCUCGGCCGGCGUGCUGCUUCCAUUGCGGAGGCAGUGAGAGGUCGCGUCCGCUCUGCAGCGCAUGAAUGCGGGCAGCUGGCGCAGAGCGGGAACGCGUGCGGGCGAGGGAGGAGGGGGUUUGGGCGGGUGGUCAGAAGAGGUCGUGGGUGUUGUCCGAACGCCUGCAAAUCCCCCCUCCAUAUUUGUCUCCAGUUUGCGGGAGAAAGUACGUCCGGACCGUCUCCAAUGGACCAAUACAGGCCCGCAUUAGAUGGCACAACACGUCCGGACCAUGUGGUCCGGAUGGUUGUGGACAGUUUAAUUGAGGGUCGGCGUUGGAGAUGCCUUAGAGUUUAUGAAUCCAUUGUGUUUUUCUAAUCAUAAAAAAGCACUUACAAUAAGUUAUAAGGAAAGACACGUUUAUAUGUUAGGUUCAGACUCCAGGUUUCGUUUUACAUAUGCUUUAUUCAUCCGACUGAUUCCAAUAGAGUGAGCCUAGCGUUGUUUUUCUGGAAACUCGCGGGAUAAGGAGACAUGCAUACACAUUCUUUCAAGCAAAUCACAUCCAUUCUUUUUAACUCAUUUUUCUUCUUUUAAUAAUAUAAUAGAUCAUUUAUAUUUUUUAUCUGAAACAGUUGACGUGUAAUUUAUAUUGUAAUCUGAGGAUAAUGUUUGGAUUUUACUUUCAAAUAUAUUUGAAAUGGCCAUGAUGGAAUCACAUCCAUUUAUUUUAUUAUUAUUUGAAUUUGAUCCAAAAGAUAAAUAAUGAGUUGAGGUCAUGUCAACUUUUCUGAGAACUUUGCUAAUCAAAAUAUAAAUUGUAUUUAAAAAAUCUAUUUUUUAGCACGCAUGAAAAACAUAACACGUAUCUUUUCACACAUAAUGAACGGUUGUCAUAAGAACUCAUGCCAUGCCACAACCUCCCUCCGACCCUGCCAACAUUGUUGCAGCUGCACUCGCAAGCCUUAGCGUAGAUGAUAAUUUAUACAAUUUGCGUAAAACAAAAUAAGAUCUACAAAUUAAUAGAAGCUAGAACGUACAUUGGCAUGCACACACAUUGCAAGCUAUACUAAGCUGAUAAGUGUUAAUAACUUGUACAACAUAUACAACACUUAAGACAAGUAAAAGCAAUUUGAUGAGUCAUGGUCUAUCAAAGCCACAUUACUAGUCUAAUCCAUCUUAACAGGUCACACAUGAUUAAAAUCUUGUUUGUGUGCAAGUCAAGCUUAUCUAGUUUACAUGUAACAACUUGUAGAACAUUAAAAAAUUUAUGUUUGCUAAUAACUUCUAGAACACUACAACACUUGACAUGUAAAAGGAAUUUGAUGAGUCAUGGCCUACUAAAGCAAGUUAUAUUACUAGUCUUAUCUACCUUAACAGGCCACACAAGAUUACAAACCAAGUUCUGUGCCAGCCAUGCUUAUCUAGUUUAUGCGUAACAAUUUGCAGAAAAUUACAAACUUAGUUUCAGAAAAAUAGGCAAUCUAGAUUAGUGUUUGAGCUAUAAAGUGAAUAAAAUGAGUCAUCUGUGUUAUCACACCUUUUUGGUUGUGGAAUGAUAGUGCAACAACAAGGAACUUUAAUGACCAGUUCAAGAAUACACUUGUAAGUAGUGCCACCGAACACAACAUACCAAAUUAUGAUUUUGAGAAGCAUCCAAGCACUUCCACACAAGCAAAUGCCAAUUGUGAAAGAGAUCAUGCCAUGGCAGCUAUAAAUAGGCCCGUAGCAUGACGAUCAUCCUUCCUCAUCCAUCAUUCUCAAAAGUAGAGCGCAUCAUUUAAGCCAAGCAAGCAGUGCUCAAUACAAAUCCACCAUGAAGACCUUUCUCAUCCUUGCCCUCCUUGCUAUUGUAGCAACCACCGCCACAAUUGCAGUUAGAGUUCCAGUGCCACAAUUGCAGCCACAAAAUCCAUCUCAGCAACAACCACAAGAGCAAGUUCCAUUGGUACAACAACAGCAAUUUCCAGGGCAGCAACAACCAUUUCCACCACAACAACCAUAUCCGCAGCCGCAACCAUUUCCAUCACAACAACCAUAUCUGCAGCUGCAACCAUUUCCACAGCCGCAACUACCAUAUCCGCAGCCGCAACUACCAUAUCCGCAGCCGCAACCAUUUCGACCACAACAACCAUAUCCACAACCGCAACCACAGUAUUCGCAACCACAACAACCAAUUUCGCAGCAGCAACAACAACAACAACAACAAAUCCUUCAACAAAUUUUGCAACAACAACUGAUUCCAUGCAGGGAUGUUGUAUUGCAACAACACAACAUAGCGCAUGGAAGGUCACAAGUUUUGCAACAAAGUACUUACCAGCUGGUGCAACAAUUGUGUUGUCAGCAGCUGUGGCAGAUCCCCGAGCAGUCGCGGUGCCAAGCCAUCCACAAUGUUGUUCAUGCUAUUAUUCUGCAUCAUCAUCAACAACAACAACAACAACAACAACCGUUGACCCAGGUCUCCUUCCAACAGCCUCAACAACAAUAUCCAUCAGGCCAGGGCUCCUUCCAGCCAUCUCAGCAAAACCCACAGGCCCAGGGCUCUGUCCAGCCUCAACAACUGCCCCAGUUUGAGGAAAUAAGGAACCUAGCGCUAGAGACGCUACCUGCAAUGUGCAAUGUCUAUAUCCCUCCAUAUUGCACCAUUGCUCAAGUUGGCAUCUUCGGUACUAACUGAGAAGAGAAGAACUCUAGUAGUAGAUAUAUGAUACACCGUUUUCUUAGUCCAUGGUUUGGUCGUUGUAGCGGUGAAAAAAUAAAGUGACAUGCACUAUCAUGCAAGAACCCGAACUAUACUAGUUCAAACAUGGGAAUAAAAGACAAACACAUGUCUUGA
rnacentral:lncRNA from 1 species